GUGAGUAGAAAGUGAAGGUAGAGGGAUACAUGAAAGGGGUAUGGAAGAUAAUUUUCAAUAAAUGGACCUGCUCAAACAGAGCCCAAUAACUUCCGGCCUGUUUCAAGUAGGCUUUUUGGUAUUUAAACAAGAGUUGUUUCUCCUCUCAUUCUUUAUUUUCUUAAAAUUUCCUAAUUUUCAUUUUUUUUUAAUUUUAAUUUUAAUCAUCUACAAAUUUAACUGAUAUAUAGAAGAGAUUUAUACAAAGUGAACACAGAGACAGAGGUAUAAAUAUUAGUCAAUUGAGAUUAUUUUAAAAAAAAUAAUGAGAGUUUGAAAAAUAAUUAUGCAUCACNNNNNNNNNNNNNNNNNNNNNNNNNNNNNNNNNNNNNNNNNNNNNNNNNNNNNNNNNNNACUCUUUCCUUUUCUAUAAACAAAUAAACACUCGUAAUUUGUUUUUUUCUUUUUAAAACACUCAUUUUUUAUUUGUUCUAAAACAUCAUUACUUUUAUUCAUCAAAUAAAUUACAUUCAUUAAAAUAUUUUUAGUAUUAACUAUUUGUUUUAAAAAAAACAAAGUCUUAAUAAUUUAAAGUUCUAAAACACUAAUUUCUUUCCUAUAAAUAAAUAAACAAUCAUCACUUUUUUGUUCUUUCUAAAAUGCUCAUAUUUUAUUUAUUCUAAAACACUCAUUACUUUAAUCAUCAAAAAAAUUAAAUUCAUUAUAAUAUUUUUAGUAUUAACUAUUUGGUUUCUCAAAAAAUAAAGUCUUGAUAAUUUAGAAUUUGGCCAUUAUUAAAUUUAAAGAAAGAAAAAUACAUUUUCUCCUUUCUCUUUUUUAUUUUUUAUUUUUAAUUUUUUAAUUUCUCUAAAUUUUUAAUAUUAAAAUAUAUUAUGUUCUAAUAAACAUUUUAUUCCGGCCAUCUAUUUUUAAAUUUGAGAGUAUAGUACUUAAUUUUCAAUAUUUUAGAAAAAAAUUCUAUCUUAAAUUUUAAAUUUAUUUCUGACGAUGUUUUAAGUUAAUAAUUAGUUGACAAAUCAUUGAAUGAUAUGACAAUGCACAUUGUUUUGUAAAAUAUGACUCUUAGGGUUUUAUAUUUUUUUAACUGAAAUUUUAUUUUGUAAAUAAUAGUUUAGUUUAAUAAAAGAGAAAAUAAAAUAGUAAGACCUAAUUCACAUGUAGAUUGGCAAACAAAUCCAUGACUUGUCAAAAUUAUUAAUCAAUUUGACACAUUUGAACAAAUAAACCCCAAAUUAUAUGAUAAUUUUUAUGUAAUUUUAAAAUUGAGAGACAAUAUUUUUGAAUUUAAAAACGGAAUAACUAAAUUUAUUUUAAAGUAAAAAAAAAAAAGUGCCUUUAACCCAAUAGACAUUUUGGUAUCAAAUAAAAUACAAUUUAUUUCUCAUUUUUCAAAAUCUCGUUUACUUCUCUUUCUCAAGUCUCUGUCUCUUCAUAUCAUAAUUCAGAGUACUUAUCAUCAAAUAUCCAUCUUAUAUUUUCCAAUAUUUUCUUUCCUUUUUUCCUCCAUCUCUUUUCUUUUCUCUCACAUAAUUUAUUUAACAAUGUCAUCCUUAUCCAUGUAGCAUAAAAUUAAAAUAUUAUAUUUUACAGCGCAUCACAGUUAUCAUGAACGACAACGUUGCGUCAAUGAUCAAAACACUGAGUCACUCUCCUAAUUACUAAAACACUAGUUUUCAUAUAUUAACUCCUGAGUCCUUCCUUCUAUGACUCUCUAACAAUAACACUCUAAAUAGAAAAUGGCUUCUUCAUUCUUGUUAUUCCGGCGAAAUGCUAAAAAGAGCAAUCUCUUAUACUUGAAAUGUCACGUGCGCGCACGUGACUUCUCAGAUAACGGAAAGAAAACAGAACGCAUCGAGAAGAUCCUAAUAGCAAACAGAGGAGAAAUAGCUUGCAGAAUCGCCAGGACCGCAAAGAAGCUCGGAAUUCGAACCGUUGCCGUUUACAGUGACGCCGACAGAGACUCCCUCCACGUGGCAUCUUCUGAUGAAGCUAUACGAAUCGGUCCUCCACCUCCUCGUCUCAGUUACCUCAAUUCAGCUUCCAUUUUCGAUGCUGCCUUGCGUUCCGGUGCUCAGGUUUCAAUCAACAUUCAACACUUCAAUUUAUUUCCUAAUUUGUAGUCAUGAUUGAAGUUUUUGUGUGUAAUUUAGGCUAUUCACCCUGGAUAUGGAUUCUUGUCGGAAAGUGCUGACUUUGCUCAACUUUGUGAAGACAAUGGUCUUACCUUCAUUGGACCUCCUGCAUCUGCAAUCCGAGAUAUGGGUGACAAAAGGUAUCAUUUUGGCAUUUGUUUCUUUACACCUAAAAUAUUCAAACUUCUUAGCUGUUAGAGGAAGAUAGGGGUUUCUAAGAGACCUGCUUCUAGAACAUUUAUAAUUAAUACAUACUUCUAGAUAUUUUCUACACUUUUUUAUAUUUAAUAUACUUUUAGAUUUUUCAAUAGAUAUUAUGACUUAUCUAAAUAAUUCUAGAUUAUUCUAAAUUUCAAAAUUAUACUUACCAUUAGCUGAGAACAGCAGGCAGCGGAUUUUAGAUUCAAGUUCGAAAAUAGCAUCAUUACUAGUGGAAACAAAAUUCCGAGUUGAAUCUAAAAUCCGCAGAUAAGUUGAGAAGUUGCAAUCCGAAAAUAGCAUUUUGAGUUGAGAAUUGUUAGUUGAGAACAUCAAGCAGCAGAUUUUAGAUUUAAGUUCGACAAUAAAAUCAUUACUAAACAUGUGGCGCUCUGUCUGUUUUUAUAUUGCGUUCAGUUGUAUAUUUAUUUUAUUAUGUUUUUUAAAUGGAAUAUAUUUUAUUAUGUUUUGAAGUUUAUUAUUCGUUUUAAUAUAAUUCGUUUGUUUCAGUUAUAUAACUUAUCUAAAUAUAUAACUUAUUCGUUUUAAUAUAUUUUAUUAUGUUAAGGGCAAAUUUGUACAGAUAAAAGUUUGAUCAAAAUUGUUAGUUAGUUUGAGUUUCCUUUAAGAUAGAUUACAAUCACUAUCAGACACUUGUCUGUAAGGAAUAGAAUUUCAAAGUAUUUGCUUUGAGUUUAUUCUUUUAACUUGGAAGGGAAAUGCAAUGCUUAAGUUAGAGAUAUGUCAUGCAGCAUCAUUAUUAGGUUAUGUAUUUAUAUUUUGAAUGAAUGGAUUAACCAGUGCAUCAAAGAGAAUAAUGGGGGCUGCAGGGGUGCCACUUGUGCCUGGAUAUCAUGGAGAUGAACAAGAUAUUGAUAAAAUGAAGUUGGAGGCGGAUCAAAUUGGGUAUCCAGUCCUCAUAAAGCCAACCCAUGGAGGAGGAGGAAAGGUGCUUGCUAGUCAUCUUGUUUUUGUAGAUAGGUGAUAAAAUAAUGAGUAUCGUUAUUGUAAUGUGCAAUUACACUUUUAGGUUCCUACUUGUUUAAGAGUUGAAAAUCUAUUUUAAGAAUUGCAGACUGCUUUUGUGGUCAAAACAGAUGAGAAAGUGAUUAUUAAAGGCAGUCUUUGUUGCUUCUGAAAAUAUUGUUGAGAUUUGGACAUUGGGAACAUUGUAGGGUAUGAGGAUUGUGCACACUCCAGAUGAAUUUGUCGAAUCAUUCCUUGCAGCACAGCGUGAAGCAGCUGCUUCUUUUGGUGUUGAUACAAUUUUGCUGGAGAAGUAUAUUACACGACCGAGGCACAUCGAAGUUCAAGUAAUUAUAUUGAUUCUAUCACUCAUCCUGCUACUGUAUUUCUCCUAGAAGUUUCAUUUGCUGCACUUUUCUUCUGAAAAAUUUAAAGUGACUUAUAGUGGAUUUCUUUAAUUCUGGGAUUUUUCUUCAGUUCUUGUGUCUUGGACUUGACUUAAUAAUAGAUUAUUUUCUAUUUGACAUUAUAGAUAUUUGGGGAUAAGCAUGGGAAUGUUCUGCAUUUGAAUGAGAGAGAUUGCAGUGUGCAGAGAAGGCACCAAAAAAUAAUUGAAGAAGCUCCAGCUGUAAGGCUUACAUUCGGCAACCUAAAUAUUAGUAUUUUUCUAAAAAAAUAAUAAUUGCUGGAGUUAUUAACUUGUAAUAACACAUUUGCAGCCAAACAUUUCUGCUGAGUUUCGAGCACACUUGGGUCAAGCUGCUGUUUCUGCAGCAAAGGUAAGGUUCUUUAGUCUCAAAAUGCUAAGGUGUACUUUCUCAGAUGCUUGCAAUUGCUUCAUUAAGCUUUGAAGGAUUUGAAGUUGUUGGUUUGUUGACUUCUACCAAGGAUGAAAACUUUUGGAUAAGUUGUAUUCAUGACCAUUGACCGAAGUAGUUUAUUUUCCUAUGCUUUCAAUGCUUACGAUGAGAACACAAUAGAAUGUAAAAAUUCUAUGUUUAAAACUUUCAACAGGUUCCAUAUUGAGUUUCAGCAAUAAGUUUAUUUAUUUAUGUAAUACAUGAAUAGUAUUUACCUCUAAACUAAUUUAUUUAUUUAGUUUAUUAGUUAACAAUUUAUAAAUAGUUACAUGGUAUCUAUUACAUGGUUCAAGAAUAUCUUCAUUCUAUUCAAUAUCAUUUACUGAUUUCUUGUUUCUUUCUGAUGGCUGAAGGCAGUUAACUAUUACAAUGCUGGGACUGUUGAGUUUAUAGUUGAUACAGUCUCUGGCCAAUUUUACUUUAUGGAGAUGAAUACCCGUCUUCAGGUGCUUGGAUUGAUAUUUGCUGCCAUUUUUUCCUAGAAUUGUGGCUUACUGAAGUAUAACAUGGGGCAUGUUAGUACAGGUUGAGCAUCCUGUCACAGAGAUGAUUGUCGGUCAAGAUCUUGUUGAAUGGCAAAUCCAUGUUGCCAAUGGCGACGCCCUUCCAUUGAGUCAAUCACAAAUACCAAUAUUAGGUGAUUCAGUUUUUCCCGUCGCUUUAUUUUUGGGGGUGGGGGUUAAUAUCUUUGUGUCCCUCUCCUGUUUUUUUGGAGUGUAAGGGUGAGGGUGACUUUGCUUAAUUCCAUAUUAAACUUAAUGAAUAGAAGUUGACAGUUCCACCGAUCUGUGGUUAGUUUAUCCUGAGACAAAAGAGAAACAUCAGUUUAAGAACAAAGUAUUCUGUGUGACUGGGGUGAUUGGAAGUCGAGUGUUAGUAUAUACUCCUAAAUUUUGUCAAAUACUUUGCAAGGAGAAAAACAUUCUUACUACUGUUUAUGACUGUUGGAGAAGGUAAUCUUAGUGACAUCCUCUAAAUUUUGCCUAAUAGUGACACAAAAAUCUGCUUUUCCAAAAGUGAGAUCAUAUAGGAUGUUGUAUAAGUCAUCAGUUAAUGAUUUUGAGCUUGUUAAUUAUUUAUUAUACUAUUGUGAGAAUGUGUUUGAAGUGCUGUCUGUUAUGUCUAGCCUUUGAAGUUUCUCUAUACUAUAAUAUUCUGUUGUGAGAGCAGGUCAUGCUUUCGAAGCACGAAUCUAUGCUGAAAAUGUUCCGAAAGGGUUUCUUCCAGCAACUGGAGUUCUACACCAUUAUCAGGUUCCGGUCUCAUCUGGAGGUCAGUUGUGCAAAGUUAGCAUAGUAAUUUAUUUAUGGUCAAUCUGAAAAUUUAUCAUACUUUCUGCUGUUGGAAGAACAUGAAACUCUAAGAUAGAUUUAUGGGACUUUCUUUUUUACUAAUCUUGGCAGUCCGAGUGGAAACUGGGGUUAGAGAAGGUGAUACUGUUAGCAUGCACUAUGACCCAAUGAUUGCUAAGCUUGUAGUGCAGGGAGAAAAUCGUGCUGCGGCAUUGGUCAAACUGAAGGAUAGUUUGUCAAACUUUCAGGUAUACUUAAUCUGUGUUGCUUUUGCUCUAGGAAAUGUGUUGUAACAUGAUUACGAUUGAGUCUUAAUUAGUAAAUUGAUUGUUCUUUCGUAUUGAGAUAUUAUACAUCUUGCCCUUCGUUUGACCCUGUAUUUAUCUUUGAGGCCAAAGGUGGACCGUGGACACAGUGGGUUGGAAUAGUGUUAUUAGAUAUGUAAGAAAGUUAGGCAUUUCCAACCAUUUCUCAUUGAAAAAGAAUGUAAUUUAAGUAAUCUUAAAUCAACUAUAAUUUUUAGCUUCAUGCAAUCUUUUAGGGUCUGUUUGGGAGUUUAGGAGGGAAAGAUGAAGUGGAAAGAAGGGAGAACUUUGGGAAGGGAGGGCUUUGGGGAGUCUAUUUGGCUUCAUAAUAUAAAAUCCUUCUAAUUUGGGGGAACUCAAAAAACUUAUUUGAAGAUGAUUUUGGAGGGUUUUGGAAGAUUUCUUCAAACCUUGUGUUGUUAUAAUCUAAAAAUUAAAAAUAUAUAUUAAUCAUAAGCAUUAUCUACAAAAUUACUCUUUCAAAUAAGGUGAAAUAUUUCUCUAUAUUUUCCUCUUUUCCAUUCCCUCCAAAACCCCCCUUCAAAUCUCCCAAACAGAGCCUUAGGGUAUGUUUGGAUGGAGGAUUUUUGGAGGGGAGGGGAGGGGGGCUUAUUUUUCUUUUCUAAAUUAAGUGUGAGAUUGAUAUGUCAUAUGAUCAUAUAUCAUAUUAUUAUUUCAAUUUUUUUUAAAUCACAAAUAUAUACCAAUACAUAGACUUUGUUUUCCAAUAUCUUCUUACACAGGUUGCAGGUCUACCAACCAAUGUGAACUUUCUUCAAAAGCUCGCUAAUCACUGGGCAUUUGAAAAUGGCAAUGUGGAGACUCAUUUUAUCGAUAAUUACAAAGAAGAUCUCUUUGUUGAUGCUAAAAACUCAGUGUCUGCAAAAGAAGCAUAUGAAGCUGCUAGACGUAGUGCUUCCCUUGUGGCUGCAUGUCUCAUUGAGAAAGAGCAUUUCGUAUCAGCGAGAAACCCCCCUGGUAUUGUCCCAUUCUUGCUGUACAAUGUUCUGAGUUGUUUUUGUUUCCUAGGUAUUUAUAUCUGUCUGUAUGUUCAGUUGGUAGCAGCUUACUCCCUGUAUGGUAUGCUUCACCACCUUUUAGAGUCCAUCAUCAAGCUAAGCGCUCAAUAGAACUUGAGUGGGAUAAUGAAUAUGAUAGUGGCGGCAGCUCAAAGAUCCUGAAGCUUACCAUUACUUACCAGCCUGAUGGGAGAUACCUGAUUGAGGUAUCACCUAACAUAAGAAACAGUAAAUUUUUCCACAUUUUGUUGUGACACAAAUUCUCUAAGAAGUUAACUCAAGAUGUUAUUGUAUACUUCCAGACAGAAGAAAAUGGAAGCCCUGUUUUAGAAGUUAAAGCAACAUAUGUAAAAGAUCACUCGUUUAGAGUUGAAGCUGAUGGUGUAAUCAAUGAUGUUAAUCUUGCUGUAUACUCAAAGGUAUUUGUCUUCCUCUGCAUAGAUGAUUUUGGAGGGGAAUAAAUUAUCUCCAUUGAGAAUCUCUCCUACAGAGGCCAGUGUGUAUUUUUCCAUUGGACCAAUUUCCACAAUUCAAAACAUAAUAUAUUUUUCUAUAUUAUAAAACUCUCCUGCCCUUUUAUAUUUCAAGGGUCUAGAUUUCACAUGACCAUAAUGUCAAUGGAUAGAAUCCAUUCCUCUUUUGGAGUGUAUGUAGAUUGAUUCGGUAAAAACAAAAUUGCUUCUAUAUUCUCUUGAUUGUCAAGUAUAAAAUUCUUAAUAUACUUUCUUGAUUACCUUCCCCCAAGAUUCAGGAGCAAAUGAGGCAUAUUCAUAUUUGGCAAGGGUCCUUUCAUCAUUAUUUCAGAGAGAAACUAGGCCUCGAGUUUUCUGAGGAUGAAGAAUCCCAACAUAAGCCCAGGUCUGAAUCAUCAGCCAUUCCUCAAGGGGCUGUUGUGGCUCCUAUGGCAGGCUUGGUGGUUAAGGUUCUAGCAAAGAAUGAGACAAGAGUAGAGGCGGGACAACCCGUGUUAGUAUUAGAAGCGAUGAAGAUGGAGGUUUGUAUGGUUUCUAUGUAAAUGUUGGAAACUUCUCUUUUGUGUCCUUGUUUAUCUUUUCACAAAGUUGUGACCAACAAUGUUUUGCACUUUCUCUAGCAUGUUGUAAAGGCACCAACAUCUGGUUAUGUAAACGGGCUUCAAGUUACAGUUGGGGAACAAGUUUCGGAUGGUAGUGUUCUUUUCAAUGUUAAGGUAAAUUGACACUUAUUUUGCUUCACUACAUCAUUGCAUGGCAGUCUAUCAAUAAAUAUAUUGUCUUCAUUCUUAUUUGAUGUUUACUUCAUUUUGUAGGUGUGAUUUAUAAUACUUAAAAUCUGCUUGUAUAGGUAAAAAGGUAGGUUAACAAAGUGCACAUAAAAAAUGACAAUUUAUCUGGACUUAGUGUUUGGACUUCGGAUACGUCUUUUUCCUCAUUUUCGUAGUACAACCGAUCAUUCUUUUAUUCUUUGCAUUACUUAAUCUGUUAAUAUGUUUCUUCAAGUUGACAUUAUACAACUCAGGUGUAUAUUUGAAUUUUUCCACUAAUUAUAUCUAGAAAAAUAUAGAGAAGGUACCAACCAUAUAUCAAGUUUAGUAUAUGGUUUUAGCUUUCAUAAACUGAAAUACAUUGUACACCGACCAUCUUUUAUGAACAUGAAACAAGAAAAGAGUAGCGUUCAUGUCUGAUAUGUGUUCCAUGUCUUUUGUGUCAGUGUCCGUUCCUCUUAGGUCAUCAGUAGUUUAAAUGUUCAUUUCAAACCAUCUUGAGAUUUUUGUGUUUGGGCAGGAUAAAAAAAAUGAAUGAGUACAGCUUUAGCCAGGAGUUUGGAAACAGUGACGUGAUUCUGGAAGGAUGAUUAAAAGUGAAGCAAUCAUGUGAGCUUCUACAGUGAUGGCAUACACCACUUACACAGAUGAAUAAACAACACAUUCAAAUUGAUUACUUGUUGAAAAAUCUUUGUAACUCAAAUCCUCAAGUUACAAAGGAUGAAAUAAAAUAAUGCAAGUAGUUCCUCCAGUUGUCAAUAUCAAAGCUAGAAAUUGUUUCAUUUAUAGAUAUUCUUCCACCAGGAGUCUCUGCAUGUUCUUUCAAUGUAUCUCUACUUCAACUUCUUCAACGAUGACUUUCCUUUUAAGAUGAGAAACCCAUUACACGGGUUUAAGAUUUUUUUACAUUUACUACACCACUAGACCUAUGCAUGCAUAACACCAUUCACAAGUGCGAUGAAGGAAAAAGAUGACCCAAAAGAUUUCUAUGAUAGUAAUGUUGCACUCAAGUUUCAAAAACUAAGCCAAUACAAUUGGAAGCAGAAAUUAGUUUGAUAAAGGUUUAAUUCAACACUUAGAUUUAUUUUCACAUAGUAAUUAAUUGAUUUGACGGAUCAAGUUUUUCGUUUUUUUGACAAUUAUAUAUUCUAUUAUAACUUGUAGUGUGAACAUGUACAAAUUUGAUACUUCCAAGUUUUUUAGCAAUAAUUUUUAGUCUCCUUUUUUUUUCUAUCUAUUUUAAAGAAUUCAAUUUUCAUAAUCUAUUAAAAAAUUCUCAAAUUCCAUUGAUUCAAUAAUUGAAAAGAUUCCAUUAUAUUUAACUCACUAAUUAAAAUAUUAAAUUUAAUUGAAUAAAAAAAACUCAAUUUUCAUCUUUGAUCCCCAAUUCCACAUAUUUUAAAUAAAAAAUAACACUAAGAAUUUUAGCUGAAAUUCAGAGAUUUCAUUGACUCCAUAAAAUGCAAAGAAACAAAAUCACACAUGUCCCAAACUUGAGGGACCAAAAAUGGAGUUAUCUAAGUAUUUUUUUAUUAAAAAAAAAAAAAAAACUGCACUUUACUGGUUGGAAUAAUAUACUAGGAGAUGUAUCAAGAGUGCUUUUUUACGAGAGAAUAAGAGUAGAUGAUGGGCAUGAGAUCAAACUAAGACCGGUCAAGAUCAAUAGAUAAAGUCAUGUUACCUUUUUAAGUGGUUAUGUGAUUGUCAAAUAACUUUCAAUUUUGGUCAUCCAUGUAUAGUUGGUAUUGCCAAUAUUUCUCUCUCACACACACCUUAUGCAUCCCUAGUGUACUUACCACAGUACAAGUGUCUCAAAUUUUAUAAGAAAUUGUUAUUCUAUAAUAUUAGAAUUAGUUUAUAGUAUUUUAAAGAAAAUUGAGAAAAGAUAAAAUAAAUUGAUUCAACAAACACCUCAAGAAAAAAAAAAUUAGAUAUGAAAAUAAUUCUUCGACAAAACAUUUUAAUUUUUCUUCUGAUACAAAAAAGGGCUUAAUUUUAUUAAUCUCGUUCAUUUAUCAUCUAUAAUGGUUUCUACUUGACAUGAGAUUAUAGUAGACAUCUCCAACUAAACCAAAUCCUUGCAGUACAACAAAAUGACAUGAGAUAGUACAAUAGUACCUUUAUACAAGAUGUAGUGGAACCUAGCUUCACAUAUCAAGAAUCAAAACCAGAAUAGACUCCACUGUCCCUCAAUAGCCUCUUCUCUUCUUCAACAUAAUUUUUCCCCCUGCUCGCCUGACCAAGCUCCCUUUUCCUCUUUUCCUUCUGAGAAAAGGAGAGAUUAUUCUUUUCGUUCCUAGUCAGAACAGUUGGCAGUUGUUCUCCUAUGGAAAGAGCCUCUCUAGUUUUCUUUCGCUCUUCAUAUGUCUCUUCAGUUUCCUUGUCGAUGCGCUUUUCCUUUCCACUGGACCAGGACCAAUCUUGCUUUGUGUCACCUUCUUUGGGUGGAGGUACCUUUAAGAUCGAUGGCCCGCCUUUAUACCCGUGUCGUUUCAGAGAUUCAAAGUCAAUUGGAGCACUUUUCUGCUUUACAGAUUUAGCUGCAGACAUAAGAUCAUUAAGCUAGUAAAUAAGCUUCAUAAGGCAAUGAAAUUAGCGAGAAAAUUUUCAACAUGCCAAAGUUUACAAGUAGGAAUAUAUGAAGCUAUUAUAAUUGGGAUUUCAGAAGCCAAUAGCUUUUAUGAACUAACACUCAUUAAAUCACACAAAUUCUCAAACAAAGAUGGAAUAAUAUAUUGUAAAUGGAGGUUUAACAACCGCAUAAAUCUAGUUAACAUUUUCUGGGAAAGAAUUUCUGCAAACAUAAAAAAAUACUACAAUAAGCAUAAUUGACUGUACAUUCAAAUUAAUCGAUCCUUUGUAAGCACUCUGGUUUAGGAUAUCAUUAUCUGUCUACCACAACUAUACCACGGUAAGGAACCAUCUUGCAGUGAUCAAAAUCAAAAUAGUGAUCAAAAUACACCCAUAACAGGGAAAAACAAGGAAUCUCUUCCACAAUGGGGUAUUGUCAAAUUGUUCAACUUUUCUUCGAUAAUAUUAUCCCUCCAUCUUUUUUCUUUAGCCAGAAUUUUUAUUCUAUCAUAUUAGAUGCCAUCCACAAAAUGAGCAUUAGGUAAUUGCUACAUAAUUAGUUCAUCAAUGUCAUUUUAUCAGGUAAUGAAUUUACCCACCCUUAGAUCAAGCCCAAUUAACCCUUAUCUAUAUGUUCAGAAAUACUGAAAUCAACACCUGAAGGAACUAGCAACUCCAAGGUUUCAUAGCAUGGAUAUGAGUGUCAAUCCACAUUCUAGUGUUAAGGUAUUUAUUAAAUAGACCCACAAUACAAACCAAUGUCGUCCGUUGCGGAUUGCGGUAAAUAGCAGUUUGUUCAAAUUGCGCUACACUACAAUGCUUUAACGUUGUCAUGCCACUAUUUGACAACAUUUUGUACUAAAACACAUUGCAAAACAAUAGUAGUGCGCUAAAAUUAUGCUCGCAAUAGCGCUAUUGCCGCUAUUUGACAACACUUACACAAACACUAAUUGUGGGGCAUAACAAUCACAUUGAUAAUUUACACACAUCCUAGAUUCAAGUGAGUACAUUUGUUUGGAUAAUAUUUUCACCUAUGACAUGCAUGCAUUCAUUGUUGUCAACAAAAUCUGGUAAAUAUUCAACUUAACCAGAAACUUCAGCAUAGCUAUAAAAUUUAAAACUAUUAGAUAAAAAGGCUGCACACUAUAUACCAAAUACCUUUGGAUUUUUUUCCACCAGUUUCACUAUCGUGUUCAGAGUCUGAAUGUAAAGAUGAUGACUCGUCUUCUGAUGACUCAUCAUCAUCACUCCAUGGCAUUGUCCUCUUCAUUGUAUAUAUGAAGAAAAAAACCCUGUUGACAUAUAGUAAACAAUGCCAUUAAAAUGUAAAUUAAAACUCCAAAAGUGAUAAAAACAGUUAAAUGACCCAUCUUAAGAGUGCAAGUACCAAAAAUGCUACUCUGCAAACAAAACAGUAACUAAUACAGUGAAAGAACAAUAGCUUUAAUAUGAGAAUAUAAAAUUGAUAAUUUAAAAAAACUGAAAAGUAAUCAAAACUGUUAGGAAUUGAUGAGGUUGCUAUCAAACACAAAGACCCAUAAAAUUUUCAGAAACUGUUGAGAAAAACUUGGGGAAAAAAAGCGGAAAAAGAAAGAAAGCAAAAAUUAAAGGUGGACAGAUGAAGAGGAUACCGAGAAAGCAACGACAGAGAUUCUGUUAUUCUUUGUGGAUGGUUUUGGUUUGGAAAUUGGGAUUUCGAGUCCUGAUUAGUGAUUAGUACUGCGUACGCUCAAUCACAAACCCCAACAUCGAGUUUUUAGGGUUUUCAAUUGCAAAUCCUGAAUUUGGGACAACAAAAAAAGUUCAUCAAGUAAUAAACUAUGUGCGCAUGCAAAUUAAACUCUAACUACAAUUGAUGUUAAUUUUGUUGAAAAAAAUUUAUAUUAAUAUUAAUAAUGUUAACUAUUAACUAUACAUUCAUUUUAUCACCAGGAUAACUUUUCAUUUAGUUAAAAGUUCUAACUUUCAAUUCAACCCUAAAAAUGUUUAAUGAGAGAUAGUUUUAGUUGGUGAAGUUGUGUAUGGAGAAUGUCUGAUUUCAAAAAACAAUUAUAUUUUCAUAAAAAAAUAAUUUUUUAUUAAUAAAAUUUAAAUUAAAUAAAUUUCUUAUCCCUACAUUUAUAUCAUAUUUAUUGUGUGAAUAAUUUUUUAAAGUAGAUAUCAAAAUUGUUAAUAAAAAAUAUUUGAGAGACUAUUAUUUAAAGAAAUUUUUUACAUAGACUAAAAAUAAAAUAUAAUAUAUUUAUAGAGACUAAAAACUUAUUUAACUAUAAAAUUAAAUUAUUAAUUUUAUUUCCAAAAAAAACAAUUAAUUAUACAUAUAUCUUUAAUAUCUUGUAAAAUUACUAUCACCUCUAAUUUUAUAUAAAUAAAAUAUUUUAUAAAUAAUCACUAAAAAAAUAUUUUAUUUAAGAUUUAAAAUAGUAGCAUUGUGGAUUUAAACUUGUCUUAAUUAAUAACCAAUAAUAAUUUGUCAUGUCAAAUAAAAUAUUCAAUGUUUAUUUUUAAUUUAAAAAUUAUUUAAAAUAAUAUGGCUGAUAAAAUAUUUAUAAUUGAACCACGAUGUAAAAUAAUUUUACAACGUCACUGUCCUAAACUCUUUAAUUUAUAUAUAUAUAUAUAUAUAUANNNNNNNNNNNNNNNNNNNNNNNNNNNNNNNNNNNNNNNNNNNNNNNNNNNNNNNNNNNNNNNNNNNNNNNNNNNNNNNNNNNNNNNNNNNNNNNNNNNNNNNNNNNNNNNNNNNNNNNNNNNNNNNNNNNNNNNNNNNNNNNNNNNNNNNNNNNNNNNNNNNNNNNNNNNNNNNNNNNNNNNNNNNNNNNNNNNNNNNNNNNNNNNNNNNNNNNNNNNNNNNNNNNNNNNNNNNNNNNNNNNNNNNNNNNNNNNNNNNNNNNNNNNNNNNNNNNNNNNNNNNNNNNNNNNNNNNNNNNNNNNNNNNNNNNNNNNNNNNNNNNNNNNAUAAUGGGACAAAAUCAAUUAACACACUAAUUGGAUGAAAUUAUUAUGGUCAUUAUGAUUUCUUUCAUCUUCAUUUUUAGUUGAUACAACUCCAUCUUUACUUAUAGGAGACGGACUAAUUAGCGACUUGGACGCUUAAAUGCUUUCAAACUUCUCCUACAAAACCUUUGAUCGAACAUGUAUUAUUUGAUAUAGAAGUUAGAGACAAUUAAAUUGUACCUAUAGUAAGUACUUUAUUGGAUUUUACUCCUACUGUUUGCACUCAUAGCGAUCGACUUUUUGAUUUCUUGUUUUUUUUUUUCUAUUCUUCUUUUUUUCGCGCCAUAAAAAAGGACUUACAAAUUUUUAAGGAUUUUUUUAUUUUUAAUAGUAAUUUAUUUAAUCUUCUUUAAAACUUGAUCAAGAACUUGUUGCACUAAGACAUCAUGAGUAUUACUCUACCAAAUUAUAAAAUAAAUUUAUAUUUUUAUCAAAUAAUGGAAUCUCAAGUCUAGGUGUGUUCUACAUUGUUGGCAUAAAUCAACACACACCUUAGAAAUUUAGAUCUUACGUAAAAUCUAUGUAGUUACAAGUGAUCACUGCAGCCACAAUCGCGUCGCCGCGGCACGGUGGUUCGGCGAUAUGUAAAACAUUGUCGCGUCACAAAUUAGGGUUGUGGUCGUCAUGUUGUCAAUCGUGACAGAUUCAUGUAGAAGACAAAGCGCUUCUUAUGGAAGAAAAAAAAGUACAACAAUAAAUGCAAUGAGAAAAAUGCUUUGUUUUUGUCCUUUUGCAUUUAAAAAUGUCGUAUUGCCUCAACCAUUUAUUAUUACUUUAAUUGUUUUUGUCUUUUGCAUUUAAUAUUUUAUUGUAUUUCUCAUUUAUCAUCUCAAUCUCAACCAGCACAGUCAGUACCUUUAGACAACCCUAACUCUUGUGAUCUGGUUAAACCCACUCGGAAUAACCUUGACCCCGCUUGGGAACAUAACAAGAAAAUUUCUAGUGCUUGCAAGAAAAUUUCCCCAUAAAUAAAGUUGAAGAAUCAAGAAGACUAUGAUAAGAAAAAGGUUGAAAGUCAAUAUUUGUUGGAGGUGAAUAUGGAUGAUGAUGAGCAGGAUCAGGUGCAAGAAAUCUACAAUAUUCGAGCUGGAAAACAACCACAAUAUGUUGAUGCCCCUGAUGCAAAAAGAGGAAAAUAUGUCAAAUGACCCUUGGAUUUUCUUUAUAAUAAGAGGCCACCAACAACAACAUCCAGUUUGAAGCAAACAUGCAUUUGCAAUAAGGAAACACGAGCUAGGACAAUUCAAUUUAUAGCUCGAUGGUUUUAUAAGUGUGAAAUUCAUUUCAAUGUGUUGCACGACAAAUCCUUCAAGCUUAUGAUUGAGGCAGUUGGCAACUAUGGUCCGCAUCUAAAAAAUUUAAACUAUCAAGAGUUACGAAUCCCAAUCUUGAAAAGGGAAUUGGAGCUUACUAAUGAGAUGUUGUCAACUUUGUUGAUGUUUUCGGGUAUUUAGACGUAAACUAUUUUAACUCUUGGAUGCUUUUAUGGUAGAUGUGGGAGAAGAAAAUAUGGUACAAGUAAUCACACACAACGGUAGCAAUUAUGUUCUGGCAGGUAAGAUAUGCAAGUAAUCACAGACAACAAUAACAAUUAUGUUUUGGCGGGUAAGAGUAACUUUAUUUACUUGUUUAAUUUAAUUGUGUCAAUUUGGUAACUUAAGUUUAUUUGAUAUUGUAGGUAGAAAAUUACAAGCAAGAAAACAAAAACUCUUUUGGACAUCAUGUGCAACACAUUGUAUUGAUUUUAUGCUAGAAGACAUUGGAACACUUCCACACACACACAAAAAAAGGCAGGCCAAAGAGGGUCACUCUUGUAGGUUUCAUUUACAAUCAUAUUGUGGCCUUUAAUACGAUGAGAAAAUACACUAACAGAGUUGAACUAGUAAGGGCUGAUAUUACUCGCUUUGCUACUCAUCUUCUCACAUUGCAAAGGUUGUACAAAAUGAAAAAUAACCUUCGUAGGAUGUUUACCUUAGAUGAUUGAUCCAACUUAAGUAUAUCUAAAGAGCCUAAAGGAAAAAGAACAAGAGACAUUAUACUAUUGCCAUCUUUUUGGAAUGACGUAUUCUAUAGUCUUAAGGCCAUGAGACCUCUUGUGCAAGUACUAAGGGUUGUUGAUAAUGAAGAAAAGCUUGCAAUGGAUUACAUCUACGAGGCUAUGGAUAGAGCCAAAUAAACCAUGAUGAAGUCUUUCAAUAACAAUGAAAAUAAGUACAAAGGUAUUUUAGAUAUCAUUGAUAAUAUAUAAAAUUGCCAACUUCAUCAUCCAUUUCAUGCAGCUGGUCAUUAUCUUAAUCUCCAAUUCUAUUAUGGUGAUGCAAGUGUUGACGGGAAUAACGAAAUUAGUGAUGAGCUUCUCACAUGUCUUCAGAGGCUAAGUGCUACUAUUGAUGAAGAAGCUAAUAUUAUUUUUUCAAAUCUUUAAAAUAAAUUCAUUCCAAGAAAAGAAACAAGCUUGAGCACCAAAAGUUAUAAGAUUUGAUUUUUGUGAAGUACAACCAAAAUCUUAUGGAACACUUUAACAAUUGUGAGUUAAUUGAUCCCAUUAUCUUAAAGGGCAUAGACUAUUGUAAUGAGUGGUUGAUAGGAAUAAUGGUUGAAGAUCAAGAAGCGGUUGGAGUUGGAGAUGACUUGAUAUUUGAGGAUGAUACACUAACUUGGGGGAUGUUGCUAAUGUGGCAAGGGUUGGUGAGCUAGUAACAAUCACUAAGAGCCAAUAAAGAACGAGGAAUCAAACUGCUCAUUUAGGCACACAUAACAUAUAGGAAAAAUAGAAGGAUUCAAAACAAAUUGCACUUAAUAAUGAUGAUGAAAAGCUCGAAUGUGAUGAUGAGGAAGAUCUUGAACAUCGUGAUGAUAGUGAUCCCACUUAAAGAAUCACUUAUUUUUUUUAUUUAAAUGCUUAGACAUAUUGUUUGGAGCAUUGGAGGUUGGAUCUGUUUUGCUUUUUAAUAUGUUUGAAUUAGAGGCUAGAACUUAUGUUCUACUUUGCUUUAUAUUAUGUUUGAAAUAUUAGUAGCAAUGACCUUUGAAGUUGUGACUUAAGAAUGUUACUUUAGUUUCUUUUUUUUUUUUUNNNNNNNNNNNNNNNNNNNNNNNNNNNNNNNNNNNNNNNNNNNNNNNNNNNNNNNNNNNNNNNNNNNNNNNNNNNNNNNNNNNNNNNNNNNNNNNNNNNNNNNNNNNNNNNNNNNNNNNNNNNNNNNNNNNNNNNNNNNNNNNNNNNNNNNNNNNNNNNNNNNNNNNNNNNNNNNNNNNNNNNNNNNNNNNNNNNNNNNNNNNNNNNNNNNNNNNNNNNNNNNNNNNNNNNNNNNNNNNNNNNNNNNNNNUUUUUUUUUUUUUUUUUUUUUUUAAUAUGUGUAUGGUGUUAAGUAUUAAUUGCUUCUAAAUGUCCCCCCUAGACUCUUCAGCGUAGCGGCUAUACUAUUACCUGCUACAUUUUGAGGGUCGGUCAAUAAACUACGCUAUCUACUACUGACUAUAUAGCGUGAAACUCACACCACAAAACAAGUAAUAGGAACACAUACAUACAAAUGUGGUUUCACACAUAUUGUCUACACUCACAAAAAUGUUGUGAUAAUUGUUUUACUAUCUCAAAUAGGAUUAUAACAAUAACAACUCAAAUUGUGUAUCACUUAAUAUUCAAUUAUUCUCUAACUUAAAGAUUAUUGUAAAAAAACGAGAAUAGAUUUACUCUUAAGAGACUCACGUCACUUUUUUUACACACUAUUCUCUUGUUCUUACAUCGAUAUGUUUUAACACAUCACAAACUCCAUGUUCAAAGAAAAUGAGAUUAGCUUCAUUCGUGAAUGUGGUACAAUAGGCUCCAUUGGUGAAUGUGGUGCAAUAGACACUAAUUAUCUGAUAUUAAAAAACUUAACUUUAAACAAAUUGUUUUUAUGUGUCUUGUACAAAAUUUAAAAUUACUCUACAUACAUUCAUUGAGUUCAUAUUCUAAAAAAACCACAUAAUUUCUCUUAAAUUUUCACCAUUUGUAUUAAUAUUUAUUAUUGCUUAAUUUUUUUAAAAGAUUUUCCAACAAUAUAUGUAACUAGCUAUAGCUAUGAAUGGAAAUAGCUUAAAUCACAUGGUCAUGACCUAUGGAUUCUGGCCAACCUACAUAAUACCAAUCCAUAUGGACUUUAUAAAAAUAGACAAUACUAUUAGACUUUUUAAGAAAUAUAUUUAGCUAAAAGUAUUUUGCUUGUCAUACAAUAAUCUUUUAACUAUACUAGUCUAGUCAAAAUACAAAUUUUUUUUUUUACUAUAAUAUUAAAUUUUAUAUUUUAUAUUAAAUUAGAAAUUUAUUCACAUUUUCAGUACUUUAAACAUAUUAACUACGAUAAGUUGUGACAAUUACAUACUAACAAUAUUAAACAUUAUUUGUUUAAAAAGAUCGGUAUCUCCUUUAAAGUAAGAUUUUCUAAACAGAUGAGUAUUGAAUAUUAAAAUUAAACUUAAUAUUAUCGACAUAUAUGUUAUAGGAGUUAUUUAAAUAUUAUUAUUAAUAGUAUAAAUAUUUGUAAAUAACAUUGAAAUAAAUUUUUAAAUAGACAUUAAUAUUAAUAUGCAUAUUACAACUAAUAUAGCCGACUCAGAUAUAAUAUUUUCAAUAUAAACCAGUAUUUAUUUUAAUAUUUGCACAAAGCAUAUUUCCUAGUUUUUUAUUUUAUAAAAAUUGACUUUUGAACUCGUGAUUGUCUUCUAGCCAUGCCCAAACCAAUAAUUUGAAAUGAGAUAUUUUGAAGUUGUACUCAUUGCUGUUAUGCUAGCUCUUUUUCUGUGUACUUAUUAUCAGAUAUAUCAUAUAUAUGUGCCCUCUGUACACCGUUCUAUAAUAUUUCAAAAGCUAGCAUAGGACUUUUUCAGAUUUUUAUUUCUCGCUAAAGUAAUGAACCCAUGUUAAAUGAAAAGUCAAUAAUUAUAUAAUUUAAUGCUGGGACUGGCAGAAAUAAUGAGAGCUGGUGUUUAGAAAAGGACUAGUAGGCACCUAAUUUUAUUCGGUAUUUUAAAAAAUAUUUAUAAAAAUAAAAGUAAAAAUAUAAUAUUUGUGCAUUUAAUUUUGAUUUGAGAAAAAUUCAAAAUAAUUAUUAUUUUUAUUUAAGAAAAAUGAAAAAAAUAUAAUUGAGAUCUUUUGACCAAUUAAAAAUAUAUAUUUGAUUUAAAUGAUUGUAAUUAAUUUUUUAAUAUUUAAAAAUCUGAUUUUUAUCAAUAAGGCAUGUUUGAUUAGUUAAAAUUUAUUGUCACUAUGUAUUUUAAGGUAUAUUAUAUAUGUAACAAAUAGAGCAAAAAUGAUUAUAAGUAUCGUUCAUGAAACCUAUGUUCAAAAUAAGUGUACGAGUAAAAAGAUAAAUUUGCAUCAGUGAAUUGACUAAUUCAAUAGAAAAAAUAAUAUUGGUAUUUUUGUUUUGAAUAAUAAUUAAGUCAGUUACUUUAUAAUUUCUUUCAAUUUUUGGGGUUUUAGAAAAUUCUGAAAAUUGUUUACGAUUCUAUAUUGAUAAAAUUAUUUAUUUGUGGUAAAAAUUUUUUUGUUUAAACAGGAUGAUGGAGUAUGUUAUUGUCAUUGUCCACUGUGAGUUUUCACCAUGUCUCGUAGGUGAUAAAAUAUAUAUAUAUAGGUCUUCUUUAUCUAAACAUGUAUUAUUUAUUCAUUUAAAUUAUUUGACAUUUAAUUACAUUUACGUGUUUUAGAUAAUUUAUUUAUCUUCUAAGGCAUUUUAUAGUUGAGAACAUAAAAUAUAUAAUAUUUUCAUGCUACUUUAAUAAAUUAGUUGGCCUAAAAAUAAUUACCGUUUUCCUCUAUUUUAGUAUAGUUUUAUAUCUUGACUGACAUUGUUAGAAUAUAAGUUGUUCAUGUCUUGAUACCUUUAAUUGUGUAAUAUUUUGUGUGCGUUUGUUUGAUUAUGUGGUUUUUUUAAUAUUUUGCAUAUUUUACAUAAGUGUAAAAAGAGAAGAGAUGAAAAGUUAUAAAGCAUCAAUCAAACAUAUAUAAUUUGAAAAAUAAGAAUUUCUUCAACCUUACAAGAAAGUGUAUCUUGAUUAUUUGAUGUUGUUGGGUAUCUAUUCUUUAAGUGGUAUAUUUUGAAGAUGUUUUACUCUAGUUUCUAUGCAUGAGUUUUGUAAAAAAUUAUAAUUAUGGAUGAAAUUUUAGUUGAUAUUAAAUCUUAAUUUUAUAUAUAUAUAUAAAGGAAAAAAAUAGAUUUUUUCUUUAUAAAUUUUUAAAUAAUUUGUUUUCAAAGUCUGAUGCGGAACCGAAUUAAUAAAUCAUUUUUAACCUGAUUUAAAAAUAUUUCUGCACCAACAUCUGUAACAAUAUAAUUGAAAAGGAUGAGAAAAGAUGACAAAAAAGGAAAGGACAAACAACAUAUGUUAAAUAAACCUUUGAGAGUUUAGUGCUAUUGCUUAAGAAUUUUCUGAGUUAUUUGCAUGCUAUUGAAGUUCAGAAAUCAUAAUUAAUCAACAAGUGAUCAACACAAAUCGAUUAUAAUUGGUAGUCGCCGUCACCGCAACAGAACCGAGAACGACGGGAAUUAACAGGCUGCAUAUUUCAUGACCCACUGAAACCCAUUUGAUUUAUGAAAUAUGCAAGACAAAAAUAUUUCCUUCAUCUUGUUACCAGACAAAAAUAUAUUUAGACCAUAGGGCUGUGUGCUCGUCCCUCUUUUUUAUAUUAAUUCAUAAUAAUGUUUUCUUAAAUAUUAUUUUUCUCUAAAAUAAAUAAAUAAAGAUAAUUAAUUAAAAUAACAAUCAACUCACAAAUAUUUUCUAAAAAAAAUUAUAUGCAUUUUUAUUUCUCUAUUUAACCGAAUGAUACAGAAAAGUAAAAUAUUCUCUUUAUCAAAUUAAUUAAUAAUUUUUAUUUUUAUUUUUUAAUUAAUGUAAAUAAUUUAGCUUUUUUAUUAUUAUUCUUUUUAGAUAAAAUAACUAUUUAAAUAAAUAAUAUAUAUAUAUAUAUAAUUAAUUAAUUAAUGGUAACCGUCUUAUAAUAGACGAUGUAAUGUGUGGUAAUAUUUUCUCUAUUAAUCAACUCUCAAUUUGAAUUUUGGAUUCGAUGAUAUUUAUUUUAAGUUUUAUUUAAUUUUUUUUUAAUACAAUAAAAUUUGUGGUUAGUUUUUUUUUUCAGAUAAAUCAAAAUUGAUAUGUGAUGAAGAAAAAAAAAAAGAUUGAUGUGAUCUUAAUUUUUUUUAUCAAUGGCUACUUCGUUACCCCUUUCCUCCUUUAAGAAUUGGGCUGGUCUACUUCAUUAAUAUAGAAUGACACCUUUCAUCCUUCUAAUUUUCACCCCUCGAAGUUUUAAGUCUCACCCCCCAUGUGAACACCAAUUCUACACAGAAUAUGACAGUGGUCCUGCAAGAAAAGCAUAUAUAAUUCAAAAUAUUCGUUUCAUCAAUUUCUCUAUGGUUAAUUAGUUACUUAGUUAGCAAUGCUUUUGAUAUAUAGGACAUGUUGUACUAUAUAUAUUUCAAGCUAAAUAAUUAAUUAUGAUUACUUAUAUAUUCUUCACUUUGUAAGAUUGUGUAAGUCCAUUCAGAAAGGACUAAAUUUAGUUUGAAUUUUAUUUUUAGAAAUACUUUAUCAUUCUUAUGGACUCCACCUUUAUAUUUUUUUUGUGCUACAAUUUAUCUCAUAUAUAUGAAUACCAAUACCUUUAUUCUUUCUCUAUUUUUUCUUUGAAACGAUCAAUUAAUAUUAAUAAUUAGUAUUUUUAAUAUUUUAUCAAUGGUAGAUUUUGAAUCAUUAACCUCCUUAUGAUUACUACAUUUUUCAACUUCUUCACCCUCAUCAAUUUUUUUCCUUAUUAUGUUGAGUAAAUGAAAUGCUACAUCUAUAUAUGCAUCGAUGUUCAUAUAUACUUGUUUAGUAGGUAUAUAUAUUUCUUUUUAUUUAUGUAAAUAUAUAUUAAUUCUUUUAAAUAUGGUGGUUGUAUGUUGUUAUUAAUUAAUAAUAAUGUUCACAAUAAUGGUUGGAAUGUCCUGAUGCAUGCAAUUAUGUUGUGCACCAUCCAUGAAAGAGAUAUAAAGUUUAAAAUAACAUGGCGGGAUAAAACAUCAUUAAUGACUAUUCUAUCACAUUUCUUUAUUUUAUUGCAAAAAAAUUUAUUGAAUGGAGAAUACUGCCAAUUGCCAAAUUCUUUUAUUCUGUUUUGAACAAUUGUUGUAGCUGAGACAGAGAUAAAAAAACAGGAAACAAAGUUGUACAUGCUUUAGUUUGAGAGAGCACAAUGAAUUUUUUUGGAUAAAAUUUUCAAACCCUUAAAACAAAAUACAUCAAUAUUCAAGCAAAUCAUUUUUUUAGUAUUGUAUGCGGAUCUAAGAUGUGUGUGGGUAGUCACAACUUCGCGACGGCUUGUCGUUAACUAUGUUUGAACCGUUCGAUCAAAACCAUUCAAUUAAAAUUAAAUGAUUAUGUGGUUUUUUUAAAUUAAAAAAAAAAUCAAAAUAUACGUUGAAAUAUAGAUAGACUUUUAAACCGUUAUAUCAAUUAAGAAAUCCACAAAAGAACGAAUUGAGUUUUUUAAACACUAAUUAACCAUAUAAUCAUCGAAUUAAAAUUGAAUUGUUCGGAUUGUAAUCGUUAUUUUAUAUUAACUUUAUGUUAAAAUGUGUGAAUUAUUCAAUUUUAAUAUGAUAUUAAAUUGCGUGACUUUAUCAAAUAUAUUAGACCAAAUAAAUCCAAUAUAAUAAUAUAUACUACAUAGUAUUUUUAACUGAGAGUCAUAUUUACAAACGUUCUAAAAAUACUAAUUAAGAAAACUAAAAAUAAAGAUUUGGAUUAAAAAUAAUAAUUUUUAAAGUUCUAAAAUAUUGAAUAUAUACACCAAUUUUUUAAUACAAGAUGCAUGCCAAAUGAGGCUGUUCACCAAAAUUUAUAAUCCAUGGCAGUCAUUGUCCGACACCUCCUUGCUGUGUUAUUUCUGCAAUAUAUAUUAUUAUAAUUUUGUGACAUUUUCUAAUAUGGGAAAAGGCACAAAAAAUAGCCAUUGGCAUAAAUAUUAUUAAAUGAAAAAAUAAAUUAAUAAAACAAUGAUGAAAGCUCGGAAAAUGAUGAUACAUAUGAAAGACAGUGACAAGAUAUAUUGCCUGGUUGAGAGUUCAAUGAAAUGAGGACAAAGACUUAAUAGUCUUAUUUGUAGUUUGGGUGAAAAACAACCUCAUUUUAUAACCUCAUAGUGAAAACUUUCACAUCAAUAUUAUCAAUCAAUCUUAUUACCAAUUAAUAAGAGAGUCUAGUCAACUGAAUUAUUAUUUCAUAUUUCUCGGACAUUAAUUAAUUGUUUUCAGUUUUCACAGAAACCAACCACAAGUAAAUUUUGUUUCUUAAGUUGGGAACAAUAUUUUGUCCUCCUUAACAUUACCUUCAAAAAGAAUAUAAUCAUAUACAACCUCUUAUCCUGUUCUGUCCUCAAUCUGUGGUUUUUUUUGCUGCUUUGUUUCUCAUCUGUUUUCAUUUGUCACAUGGAUGUUUGCCUCUUCUACUUUUUUAUUUUUGGUUUAUGAGUCUGGUUGAAUUGUCACCAACAAUAUAAUUAUCCUUUUCUUUCUCCAGCUUACCUCAAAUUUUAAUAGAGUAACAACUUUCAAAUGAGAGUGUCUUGAUAGGAAAACAAAUAUUUAAUUUAUAUAUAAUAAAUAAAGGAGCAAUAUAUAUAUAAAAGGUAGAUUCAAUAUGAAUCUCUCAAAAAGAGUUUAAAGGCGGGGACCCUUAUAAAUAUUUUUAGUAAAAAAGUAAGAUUAAGAUUAAGUAAACAUUUUUAUUUUUGCAGAAAUUAGAAAAAGAUCUAUUAAAAGUGUUAUGUUUUAUUUGUUUAUGACUCCACAUGGUUGUUUUAUAAAUAUUUUAUUUUUAUAAUUUUAAAUAUAAAACAUAUAUAAGUUAAUAAUAGUAAAAUAAAAAAUUAAAUGGCGACAUGACAUCAUUUCUUCCAACUCACUAAUGUCAUUUUAUUACAUAUCAUUAAUGACAUAGUUUUAUAAGUAAAAAUAUUAGAGAUAAAAAAAAUCUCAUGAUAUUUUUUUUUUAUAUUCUCUUUCUAUUCAAAACUCUUUACAUUAAAAUUUAUAAUUAUUUGUUAUAAAAAAUAAAAACAAUAGAUGAUUUCAUUCGGAAUAUGACCGCUUAUUAAAAAAAAAUAUUUUCAUGUGAUGACAUUUCCACUUUACUUAAAAAAAUAGAAUAUUUUAAUAAUAUAAAUUUCAAAAUAAUAGAAUAUUUUAAUAAUAUAAAUUUCAAGUAAGAUUUAAUGGUGAGUUUUAAAUAAAUAGAAAUUCAACUAAAAAUCUCAUCACAUGUGAAAAAGAGAAACUAAAAAUUUAAAAAUAAAAACUAAAAUUUAAAUUUAAACAAAAUAGAAAGACCAAAUAAUUUAAACUUUAAAAAAAAUUCAAAAAAUUAAAAAUAUUUUUUUAUAAAAAAUUAAACUAAAUACUACUCACGCUAUAGCUAGAGUAAACCGUAUAUACAAUAAUAUUUUUCUAUUAUUUUGUGAAAUUUAGAUUGUUUACAUUUUUGUAUAGGAAUUUGUCACUAAGAAGUUUGUAAUGUAUGAAUGAUAAAUAUUAUAAAUUUAUCAUAGAUCAUACAUAUUUUCUAUAAUAUCAAUGAUUAAUGUUAUUUAUUUUAUUUUUUAAAAUUAUUCGUUUUCUUUAAAGUGAGUUGGACAUAAAAGAUUAUUUAUUGAUAAGUAGUUCUUUAGAAAUUUAUAACCUGCAGUCCACGUCAACAAGUACAAUUGUACGACAGGCCCAGAGGCGUACCUAUUUUGUGAGAUUAUUACGAAUAAUAUGACACAAUGGCAUAAAAAUACACAUUUGAAAAUAUGAGGAUCAACAUAAGUAAAAUCAAAUUAUAUUAAGAGUUGUUUGUUAAAAAAUUUACAAAAAGUGGUUUAAGUAUUUUAUAAUUUAGAUAUUACUUUUUUAAAAUUUAACAAAAAAUGAAAAAUUAUUUUUUAGUUAUUUGAUAUAAUAAAAAUUAUUUUUUAAUAAAAAAUAAAAAUGAUUUUUUAAUAAAAAAUAAAAAUGAUUUCUUUUAAAAAUUAUUAAAAAUAUCUUUUCAAAAGAUGAGGUUUUAGAUAUUAUAUUAUAUUUAACAAAAAUUGUACUAAACAGAUGCAAUCUUUUAAAAAUAACUAUUUUAUUUAAACUUUGAUAAGCGUAGCUUAAAAUUAAUAUACAACAAAAUGAUUGAAUUGUAUUAUUUUCUUAUAUGGAAUUUGGUGGACCACGCCGCCGAUAUAUCGUAAUAACGUCUGGGUGUUUAAGUGGUAAAAAUAGUUUUCAAAUUACAUAUCAUCUAUUAUUUUUUUUUGUCUCCAACGGAGAUUUAGUUAUUUAGGAUUUUUUAUUUUUAAAUUUAGAAUCAGUCUUCUAAUUUUUUUUUUUAUCUAAACAAAUAACUUUCACACAUUUUUUUUUUCGUAUUUCAUUUUUGUGAUUUAUUUGUUCAGGUGUAAUGUUUUUUUUUCUUUCUUGGUGCUACAUUUUUUUUUAUAAUUUUUGUCUUAGCGUGGUGUUCAUUUUUUGUUCAAAUUUAAAGGGUAACUUUGAUUCGUUACAAAUUUCAAUCAAUAACUUUGAUGUUGUUAACAUUUCAAAUUUGAAGGCAUACGUAUUUUAAACACUUAAAUUUUGUCAUAUUUGUACGUAUGUGUUAUGUCGUCGUUUUACGCUAUUAACUAGAGAAUUGUUAGUUUGUUCGCAAAUUCAAUCUUUUUGUUUUGAGCAAAGUUGAAACUCUAUUGUAUCGAUGUAUUAUGUUAGUGCUAAAGUAGUUUUAACUACAAUCCUCUAAUUUAUGUUUUGAUGAUAAUUAAAACAAUAAGAACAAUGAUCACCUAACUAUUUGCUAAGUGUGGAGAUUGUAUCAAAAGAGAAAAAUGUAUAUUAAUGACUAUAUAUUUUAAAGUAAUAUAAAUUAUAAGUAAGUUAGAGACAAUAGUCUAAGUGUUUUUAACAAAAAAUAUUAUCACCAAAUAACCAAAUAAUCAUAUUUACUAAUUGAGUGAGUCAUGCUAUAAGUUGUAAGAAACAUUGUAACAAGCAAUUAAUUAUCUACAAAUUGAGUCAAAUCAUUAAAGACAAAAAAAAUUAUGAGUCAAUGAUUGACCCUUUGAUCAUAAGAGAAAAUAACGCUACAAUUAUCAUCAACAUUUGACUAUAGGUGACUGAGAAUCAAGAUCAUUUUUUAUCUCUAACUCAAGACAAAAGAAGAAAACUUUAAAUGAAACCUCUUAGUAAUGUUCUGAGAAAAUUUCUAUAAAAAGUAUAGAACACAUUAAAAGAAAAUAAUAAAUAAAAAAUCCUUUUAGUAAAGAGUUAUUAUAAUUUCUGUAAAUCAAUCAAGUUGAUAGUGACAACAACUCUUUUAGUCAUAAGAGGUACAUGAAGAAGUGUAAGAAUAUUUUUGAACUUCAAUGACAAUUUACCAAAAAAUUGAUAAGGGUUCUGACGGUGACAAUCUGAAGUGACAUAAAAAAAAAUACUCAAAGUAUGAAGAUGUAAAGUAAAUAAUAUUUGUAUGCUAUUAUUUAAAUAGUAAAUUAAGUCGCCGACUGUACUGAGACAAAAUCUCUCUAUCAGAGAAUGACUAGAUGUAACAACAAUUUAUUAUGAAUUAGUAUAAUAUCUACUUUGUAAUUUAAUCUAAGUUUUUUAUGAUUCAAUUUUACUUAAAUUGUUUUAUAAUCAUAAGUUGAAUGAUUUGAUAAAAAACAUAUGUUUUUAUUUAAACAAUUCAAAUAAUUUUUAGAAAUGGUAAAAUACAUCUGAGACUCCCAUUUUUUAAUUUUUUAAGCACCUUUCUAUUUUACAAUUUAAAUAAACGAAUAUUGUUUAUUUUAAUAAAUAAAAAGUUGUAAAAAUUGUUAAAUUAAGUUUUAUGUUCAGAUUGUUUGGUACUUAUAGACUUUGGUAUUCAACCACCCUUUCUCUAUGAAAAAAUGUGAGAUGUUAAAUAUAAAAAAGACAAACUUUAAAUAAAAAUAAAAAGUCAUUUAAAUAAUAAUUACAUCUUAAAUCAAAAAAUUUCUUAUAAAUAAAACUAAAAAAAUAUUCAAAAAGUAUCUUACAAUUGAAAUGUAUUAAAAUAUACAUUUUGCUCUUAAAAAACCUUCCUUCUUAAAACCCUCCAAAAUUUCCUUUCAAACAUACUCUAAAACAAAACGUCCGUUGACUCAUUCAAAUUUGAUGGUUACGAAGACAGUGUAGGAUAAAAGGGAGUGGUGUCUUACUUAAUAAGGCAUGUUUCAAAGCUGAAAAAGCAAAAGAAUGAGAAAGAAAUUCAUAUUACAUCCUAGAAUACUUUGGCCAAAGUACAGUACAAUUUAAAGAUGCAUCUUUGACUGCCUCGUUAACCUAUCAGUAAUUUUCUCACAAUUCGAAAUAAAUUUACUUGAAAAUUACACUUGCAAACACCCCAAUAUCUAAAUUUAAUUAUUCUGACUAGUGAUUGUUUCUAUGAAUCUUUGUUGAUUUCUUACUCACGUUUCAAUUAUAAAAACAAAAGAAUAGUCAUUGUUUCACAUUGUUAUUUUUAUUUCUAUUUAUUUAUUUUUACUAACCAACACAAUUGUUUGCACACAUUAUAAAUUUAAUGAACGAAUCUAGCUAGAAUCACACAUCAAAUGACGCAUUCUUUCUAGUCCAACUAACACGUGUUGGUUCAUUUUGCUAUAUGCAUUAUUGAUUUUGAUUUUAACGGAUUUGGAAAUAAGAAAGUGAUAAUUUGUUUAAUACUAUACUACUAAUUUUUUAUUUGUAUUUCUUUUUUAUAAAAAAGGAAAAGUUCAAAAAAAGUACAGAACGAACACUACAUUAUUAGGCAUGCAAGUUUCACAUAUAUAAUUAAAAAGAAACAUUUAGAGUUAUUAGAAAAAGUCUCUAUAUUACACAAAUCAAAAUAGUGAAAAGUCAAUUAAUAUACUAAUUCUCUUUCUGUUAUGUGUGGUUGAUCUCGAUUUGUCAAUCUCUAUUCUUUAGUUUAUGAAUACGAUGAAUAAAAGUUGAGAUAUUUCUAUUGAUUUUACAAUUGUCAUUCACCAUGUCAACUAAGACAUGAUUGAAUCGUUUCAUCUUCAUUCCUGCAAGCCAAAUAUGUGGAUGAAACAUUGACAAUCUAUCGGUUGAAGUGAUAGUUACUUAAGAGACGUUCAUGGCAACAAGCCACAUAAAUGUUUGGAUUUUGUGUGGAAUCUUCCAUUUCCACAAAAGAGUUGACUUCCAUCUAUUGUCACUCUAGUAGAGAUUAUAAACACUCUGAAUAGUGAAAUGACGAGUAUUGAUAUCACUAUCUAUGGAGUAUGGGGUAUCAAUAUCCAUAAACUAUAGGUUUGAGAUUAAUUAUCAAUUAAUUAACUUUGUUAGGAGAAAGAUGAUUGUUAAGGAAGUCGAUGUAUCAUGCCUCUACGUUCGUUAAGACAUCAUUUAAUGUGGUGUCUAUAAACAAACCAGUAGAUACAUUCACAACACAGUGCUUGUCCAUCAAACAUCCAUUUGUAAAGCUAAAAAAUAAAAGAGAAAAAAUAUAUUACUAAAUUUGAAAAGGAGAAAAAUAUGAGAAGCAUGAGAUUGUUAUUAUUUUGGAAGAAUAAAAGAAUGUAUAAAUGAUUCUGUGUUGAUUCAUCUCACCAACUUUUGUUUCUUAUCUUGUAAAAUAAAAUAAAAUUAUUACUUAUGAUGAGAAUAAAUACCAACUUUCAUUCGUUUUUUUUUUCUUCCUUAAAAUUAAUAUUAAUAAUAACAAAUAAAAACUUAAUGGCCGUAGUGUGACAACCACGUGCAGAUACGUUUAAGAAUUGUCAGCAACGAGUAAUAAUUGAAAAUAAAAAUUAUUUAUUUAGUUGAUAAAUAAAUACGUACAAGUUUUUUUUAUAAAAAAAGUUCAAUAAUGGAGCUUCCAUUCCUUUUGCUCCUUAAAUAUAAAACCUAAAAUCUAAAAUAAUUUCUCAUAUUCUAUCUUCUCAUUUUUCUCCAAAUGAUUUGGUCCGCUUUUGUCCAACAGACAUAAUACAUAAAUGAACUAGAUUGGAACUAGUCUCAUUAUUUUUGGCUGCAAGUUUUUAAGUUUUUACAUUAGCAUUGAAUAUUUGUUAAACUUAAAUUUGUAUUCCUUCGAUUGAACAAAGUUAAUAAUUUACAAACUUUAAUUUUUUUUUUUUAGCUAAGUGUAUCUCUUUUUUUUUACUGAGUUUACAUAUUUAUAUAUAAUUUUAUUAAUUUUUAAAUUAGAUGAUAAAAGUUAGAGCAUUACUAAUAUUAAUUUAAAAAAAUCACUUAACGAUAUUGGCAUUAGAAUCAACAUGAAGUUCAAUAGAUCAGUCCACCUCAAUUCAAUUUUUAAUUUACAUUAAUUAUUUUUGAAGUAUGUUAAUUUAAAUUUAAAUUUGUAUUAAAAUACAGACUAACGAACGAGUCUAUUAAAUAUGACUCACUUUAACGGUUAUACUCUAAAUAAAAAUUUAUUAUUAAACUAAACUAAACUCAAGUGAGAUUAAAUCUGUCAUAGAACUCUAAAAUGUAUAAAAGAAAAUCCUUAUCAAGAAUCAUAAAGACCCUUAAAUUCUAUUAGAGAUACUUCCUAGUGGAUGACAGACCUCAAUUUUUCUUGAUAAUGUUGAAUCAACUCUCAAGACAUUUAGAAUAUUCAAGUUGUAGUUAGUAGUAUAAAAUGUUGGACACCUUACCCAUAUCUAAUUCAGAUUUGUUGUUCUUGGUCAACAAGUAUGCAUUAUGAAGCACUUUAGACCCAACUAAAAUAUUUGUUGGGAACUAAUAUCUGGCUAAUGAUUCCUCAAAAUGCUUAAAAGGAAAGGGGAAAAAAACAAGUGCAUUUGAUUUAAAGAACAUGGACAACAACUAAAUUAAGCAAGCACAAAACAGAGGAAUCUUUAUGAUUGAUUAGAUAUAGACAAUAAUGCUAACACACAAGCUACUAAUAAUUGACAAAAUCGAGACUCUCUAAAUUGAUGUUACUUCUCUUCUCUCUAUUUUUCUAUCCAAAGGGUACAAUAAGAUGCUCAAUCUAUUUGGGACAAACCUUGACAAACCUAUGAAUAUAAUUAGAUUUAAGGUUUCAGUUUAUAUGGUAGUUAACGGGUGAUUGAGCUUGAAGCUUUUUGCCGUCAAUUCUAUUAGUUAAUCAUUUCUUCAUUCUUGAUACAUCAGUCCUACCCGGAUAGAUCAUAUGAUUCAUAUCAAAUAAAUUAAGAGUUACUUUUUUUUGUUAAAAUAUUUUUAUUUAAUAAAAUUUGUGUUAAUUUUAAUAGUUAAUACGAAGAUAAUUUGUUUUAAGUAAAUAAUUGUCUAAAUAUCUUGAAACAAUAAAAAUAAGAAAGAAUAAAAUAUUAUUACUAUUAUUAUUAUUAUUAUUAUUAUUAUUAUUAUUAUUAUUAUUAUUAUUAUUUGAUUUUGUUAUAUUAAAUGUUACAAAAUUUCUAUAAAUAUUUAUACAGUGAAAUGUGAAUGAAUAUAUGUGUAAGUCUACUAUUUAAAAACUUCAAUAGAAUGAGACGUGAUAGCAAAUUUGUAUAACUUUGAGUUUUAAGUCUACAAUCUAAAAAUUUAUCAUCUUACUUAAAUCUUAUUACAGUUUAAAAAUCCUCUAAUAGUGUCGUAUGUGUAUAUAUGUCACAUAGUAUUUACUAUAUAUAAUAUUUUUGAGUUUAUGGUUGGAUGAUACAUGUUUUUUAUUUGAGUAGUGGUCUUGUUUAAAUAAAUGAAAUAAAUUAUGGUGAGAGUUAAACUUCGUUAAUAUAUGUUGAAUACAUAAUUUUAAAUUGUUCAAUUGAGGUGUCAUUGAGAUGUGAAAUGACGCUUGAGUAAGAUGAAUGUAUUGUAACAAAUUAAUUUUUUAUGAUUAAAUUUGAUAAUGAAAUGAAGAGUUAAGUUUAUGCUUGAGGUUAAUUUUCACCCAAUUUUAUAUUAUAUUGUUGUUUGAGGUCAAAUAAUCAACUAAAUUUGUUGUUGCGAUAACUCUUCAUCAUAUUAUAGCGUCUUUUUAAGUAUUUCUUUCAUUUAGUUAUGUUAGUUUUUAGUUAGAUUUAGAGUUAUUUGAAUAGUUUAUCCUUUUGUAGUCUAUAAAUCAAUUAGGUGUUCAUCAAUUUGUUCAAUAGGUUUCGUCGUACGAGAGAACAAGCUCGUCGAGUAAGUUGCCAUUUGUAGCAUGACACGAUCUAAAUCUAGGUGAGUUAGAGCAAUAUUUAAGAUAAAACAGCGGAUCCUAGAAUAUUUUUGAACAUUAGGAAUUUAGAAAAGACAACAAAAUAUUGUGGAACAUCAAGAUUUAAAUAUUCAUCUUUAGGAAUGAGUGGUUUGUGUGAUAGUUAAUGAAUGAUUGAAUUUGAAACUUUUUGCCCUCAGCUCUAUUAGUUUAAUCUUUUCCUCAUUUUUAAAACAUUAGUUUAACUGUUAUGUUAUUUUUUCUUACGAAAUAUAUAAAUUACAACGAAAGAAAUUAAAGAGAAAGACAACUCUAUUUGUCAAAUAAAGAAGAACUGACGUAGAAGGAGUUUAUCAAAUAAACUAAACUCCCCACUUUGGUCAAGGUUUGCCAAAUUGUUUGCACAUCGGUUAGCCUCAUAGUAGAGUAUUAGAGGAAGAAAUUCAGUUCCUAGUUGCUUUUAUAAAUUUCACUUUCUUGCAUCUUAAUUUCGGCUACUCAAAUCAUUAAACUUCAUUUUCUUUAUUUUCUAAGUACGUCUAACUUUGUUGCGUGGACAAAAUCAAUAAUAAUCCAUACGAAGACUAUCUUACUUAUCACUUAUUAUUAGGUAUGUUUUGAUACACAUGCCAAAUUAUUAUCACAUAUGUUGGAAAAUGUGUAUUUUUAUAUGCAUUUACAUUUUUAUAUAUGUCAUAUUUUUAUCUCUCUUUUUUAGUGUUACUUCCUUCAUAGAAAAUAUUUGGUAGUUUAAUCAAGUAGUUUAUAAAUUUUAUUGAUUUGAGAAUUGUUUAUGAUAACUCGUUCUAACCCUAAUUGAAAUGAUUAUUUUUUAAAUUUUAUUUAUUUUUUGAUCGAAUAUAAAAUUACUAGAUUAUUUUCUCUACAAAUUAAUUAGGAUUAAGAUUAAAAAAAAAAUUGGAUAGUUUUAUUAUAUAUGUAUUUUUAUUUAUAGUUCAAAAUAAAAGAUGUUUUACAAAACCAAUAUAUUAUUUGCAUUGAAAAACAAGUAUUUGGACAAUAGUUAAUGAUAAAAUAAAUAAUAUUUUAGUUCAUCUGUAUAUCAAUCAAAUAAUUUUUUAAUCCGUGUGUACAAAUUUUAAACUACUAAUAUAUAAAAUAAACAAAUUAUUUACUAUUUUGUUUAUGUUUAUAUAUAAGUACUCUCGCCAUUCCAAAUAAAUGUCCAUCAAUAUUCUUUCACAUAUAUUAGAAAAUAAAUAAACUAACAAGUAUAAUAAAUUCUACAAAAAAAUGCUCUUAUUAAUUAUUGGCUACAACUGGCAUAAAUAUAUAGAAAAAUAUAAUGAUUUGAAAAUUUUAUAAAUAAUAUUAAUUUAGGUGAAAAAUUAAAAAUAAUUAAUGAGUGUUACAUUUUGAAAAUUAAACUCGCUUAUUUUUGAAAUAAAAGUGACACGUAUUUUGAGUUGAGGGCAUGUGGAUUGUAGUUAUAUAUACUACUAUAAUUACCGUAAUAUUUGGAAAAAAAUUGUCAUAAAAGGGUCAUUUUUAUUUAUAUAAAUUUAAUUUUUUUUAAUGAUUCCUUUAAUGUAAUAUUAUACCAAACUUUCAAAUUAUUAUCCUUUGUUUUAUAUUUAUGAUAAUAGAAAUACAUCAAACAAUUAAUUAGGAUAAUAAUUGAGUAUAAUUAAAAUUCUUUAUAUUUUAUUUAUAAUUUUUUUCUUAAUAUAAAAUAACUCAAAAAUGUAAAAUGAUAAAAUACAAUAGUGAUUUUGAUACAGAAAAGUACAUUUUAGAUACUAAUUCAAUCAAUAGCAAUAAUAGUUUGGACAUCAAAACUUACGUGUUAUUUUUUGGAAGGUAGAUGAGAUAACAAACACACUCAAUAAACUUACAAACAAAAUAGAGAUUAUUGUAACUUAUAUGGAUAUCAACAGUUCAUGUAAAAUUCAUUUAUAAGGUGCGAGACUUAAAUUGAUUUUACUCAAUAAAAAUAUAAGUGUUAAAGUAAAUAUUAGAAAAAGAGAGUUCCCAUUAUUUUUCCUAGAGACCUAACAUUAGAAGUUACUCCUUUCGGUCACUAUUAUAAAUAAAUAAAUAAAGUAAUUUUAGAUUAAAUAUAUUUCAAUUUUUAUAAAAUGACGAUAUUCUAAAUUUAAUCUUUAUAUAUUUCAAUUUCUAUAAAAUGACAAUAUUCUAAAUUUAAUCUCUAAAAAUGGCACCCAAUUGUUAAGGGCUUCAAAAAAAAUUAUAAUAUAAAAGUGGUAUUUUUUGUUGUUGUUAAAUAUAUUUUCAAUUCCUAUAAAAUUACAACAUUUAAAGUUUAAUCUCUAAAAAAAAGUAAAAAAAUAAAAUUAGAAACUAAUAAAUUGAGAAUUUUUUUUAUAAAGACUAAAAAUAAAUUUUAAAAUUUUAUAAAAACUAAAAUUUAUUUAUCUAUUUUUUAAUUAUUAAAAUUAAACGUUCUUUUUAUUAAAGAUUCAAUUUUUGCUAAUAAUAACAUAAAUCUCUAAAAUGUUUGUGAUAACCUUGAGUAUAUAGGUUUAGAAACACCUAACUAACAAGAUCCUAUUGUUAUGCGAAAUGUGAACAACUAGUUUAUCCAACGGCUCGCCCCAGUGCAAAGUCUUAAUCCAAUAAAAUUAGAUUUGUCAACUUCUCACUUUGGAUUUUAUCCCUACACUCUAAAAACAAAAAUUAAUUUUACUUUAGCUUAAUUCAUUUUUUAACUAUCAAUUUUUUUUAUUUUCGAAAUUUCUAAAGAUAAAAAUAUUAUUUUUUGAAAUUUACCAAUAGACAAAAAUAUUAAUUACGAAAUUUUUUGGAUAGAAAAUAAUUACUAAAAAAACUAGUUUUCCAAUUCAAGAAUUUAAAAAAAAAACUUACUUUUUUUUUUUAUAUAUUUUUGAAGCGGAUAUGUGUGAAUUGCCCAAUAUAUAUAUAUAUAUAUAUAUAUAUAUAUAUAUAUAUAUAUAUAUAUAUAUAUAUAUUUUUUUUUUUUUUUGGAAAGGUAUAUAUAUAGUGAACAAAAAUUACAAAUGUGUGAGUACGAGAACAUUUAAGAAAAUAAUAAUUACUAUUUAUUUUUGGUGAAAAUUACUACUUAUUUUCGGUGAAAAAAGAGACACAUAUAUAACAUAAAGAGACAGCUAGAUUAUGAGAGGCUUGAUCGAAUAGUACGAGAACAUUUAAGAAAAGAAUAAUUUAUUGUGUUAAUUUUUAGAGUAAAAUAAUGUGUGAAAACUAAAAUAUUUAUGUGAAUUAAAGUUGUUACGAGGGUAUUAUUGAAAGAAUUGAAGUUAAUCAACAAAUGUUGUCUUCAUAUAUUUUAAAGUGUAAAAAAUUCGGAACAGAAAAUAUUUCAAAUGUUGAUGUUAGAUUGUUGGUUAAGGAAUAUUACUCCAUUUUCUUAUGGUCCUAUCGGCUCAUCAAUUUCACAAAAGGGGACAAGUUGUCCCUAUAUCAGAAGUUGGCAAGUUGAAGGUGGUACACGAGCAAUUAAGAGUCGAUUGAAAACAUUUCAUUUAUUUAUAUUUAUAGUUAAUGUAAACUAAUCAUUUAUAUUUCAAUUUAAUAAUUUUUGUUUUAAAUACGAGUUUAUCACAUCUUAAAUUUACAUAUAUGUUAUAACCAAUAAAAUACGCAUCUUGACUACAAUAUCAAAAACACAUUCGAUAUAAAAAUUAAAUACUAUAUACACUAGAAUUCUCUUCUACUCCUCCACCAAGGUGAUUUAAGCCAUAAUACCACUUCUCCACCUUAAUUCAAAAUGAUACAUCAUUUACUUAUAUUGUUCAUACUAAUAAUCAUAGUUCAAAAGAACUAUCACACUCCAUUAUAAAAGUAUAUUUUAUUUAAAGAUAAACUACAUCAAAAAUUUCCAUUUGAAUCUAAAUUACUCUGAGAAUUUUCAGCCAAAGAUAAACUACUCCAAAAAUUUCCACUUGAACAUAUUCCAUUUCAAGAAUUUCCAUUUGAAAGUAAAUCAAUCCAAUAAUUAUGAGUUAUGGGUCCACCAUCACUCAAAUUGUGGGUUUUGGGGCCAUAAUAGUCAUUGUUUUUUUCUUUGAUUUUGAAGUUUUGAUGCUAUAUUCUUAUAUUUUGAUUGUAUUAUUUUAAUUUUACUAUGUCUAAUUUUUUUAACAUCUGGUAUUAGAGCUUUUUGCUUAGGUUAGAGGAAAUUGAAUUCUUAGAAUGCUAUGUGGUUUCAUCAAUGACUAAUCUUUCACAUAUAAAAAGAAACGUGAUAUUGAGAAAAUGUUGUUUUGAAAGGUUCUAGCUAAAAAGACUUGAUAAUUAAGUGGUCAUUUGUGACCCGCCUCAUUUUUUCAGGAAAAUUACCUAGUGCACGAUUACAGUAUGUUAAGUUUCAUUGUGAAGUUCAGCAUAACGACGUUUGAUCAAAUAAUUUAUUUUGACUUAUGAAAAUUCAAGUUAAUAUUGUGUUGAUACAAUCAUGAUUACACAAGGUGUUGAUUGACACAAGUGUAUCGGUUAACAUUGAUGCAAAGUUUGUUGUAAGAAUAUGUCGAUUACUAAAAAACUUUAUGAGAAAACCAACCUUGAAGUUGCAUUGUAAAUUUUCUAUUUGGUUUUCGACAUAUAGAAAAAAUUACCGAGUGGCUUAGAUUCAAAAGAAAAUUAUUAGAAGUGGUUUACCUUCAAGUGAAUUUUUUUUGAAGUGAUUUCACUUUAAGUAAAAAUUAUUAGAGUAAUUUUCCUUCAAAUAAAAAUUAUUGACGUAAUUUAACUUUAAUGAAAAUUGUUAAAAUAAUUUAAUUUUGAGUUGAAUAUAUUUUUUAUGGUGGAGUAAAAUAAUUUUUUAAAAUUAUGAUUGUUAUUGUGGACAAUAAAAGUAAAAUAUCUAUGUAUUAUUUUUAAUCAAGAUGAAAAUGUGAGGUCAAGUUUAAAGGGAAAUCUUAAUUCAUAUACAAAACUUAUUUAGUAUUUGUUGAAUCCAGUACUUCAUUUGGAUAUUUUUUUGAGACACAGAACUGUAACAUGAGAUUGUAUUUGUCGUCGUGUAUUAAUAACUAGAUCUAGAUGAAAUAAAAAUACAUUAUAAUCUUAAUUUAUAAUUUUUUUAAAACAAAUAUACUUACUUUUUAUUUCAGAAAUAAACUUGUUUUUAGAAGAGGUUUUGUAAACAGAACAAAGUGGUUUUUUUUUUUCAGUUUUAAGAAAAAAGGAUAACAAUAGUACAGUCGCAAUCAGCAAAGUAAUCAAAUGCAUUGAUUUAAACUUCGUACAAUAUUAAAAUCCAAAUUGCAUUGAAUUCAGUAGUUUCUCUCCACUUUUCUUCACCAAACAUUCUCUCUAAUAACCGUAACAAACAUACUUAUCACGUAGUCUUGUAAUAAGAUAUACGAGUAUAAUUUUACCAAAUGAGACAGACUAGUUUUUUAAUUUAGUCAUAAAGUUAAGGUUUUUGUUUUAACAAAUAAACUAGUGACUAUAUUCAUAUAUUUUAAAUGUAAAGAAAUAGAAAAUAGUAAUUCUUUAUUUUUAUUUUUAUUUUAAUAGCCAAAAUUGUUAAGAAUCAUUGACAGCUAACAAUGGCAACCGGAACACUCUAGUGGCCUUUUUUUUUUUUUCCCUUUCUUUUUGUUUUAAUUUUCUUUCUUCGUAUGAGAGGGUUAAUUUAAUGUUAACUUUUUUUAUUUGAAAUUAUACUUUUAAAUAGUUUUAUUUUUAUUUUUUGUUAUUUAAAUAAAUAUAUUUUACAUCUAUUUAAUUUUUUAUUUUAUUUUAUAAUUUCAACGUCUUAGUGCGAGUUGUUUUAAUUUUUCACUUUGGUGCGGUGUUCAUUUGAUUUUAAAUUUACUGAUUAAAUUCAAUCAAUGAUUUUAGUGUCUUUAAUUUAGAACUCUAGAGCCAUCAAUAAUCGACACUAAUCAAUUUUGUCAUAUUUAUAGUAUUUAUCAUUUUCGUAGUAUUUGUCAUAUUUAUAUUUUUUUAUUUUAUAUUAUUAACAUGGAUGUUGUUCACAAAUUCAUUUUAUUUUUAUUUUUAUAUUUGAUGUUGUUAAUUUAUUCAUAAUUUCAUCUUUUUGUUUUUAGUAAAUGAAUGUCAUUGUUUUAAUAAAAAAAAUAAAAAGUAGAAAAUAUUAGAUUCAAUUUAUCACCUGUUAAAAUAUAAAAGUAUUUAGAAAAUACACCAGAAAUGUUUUGAUAAGCAACAAGUAUAUAAUUUGAGUCGUAAAAAGUAUAUAUAUCAUAUUUGAGUCAACGUACCUUUUUCUUUUUUCGUUUUAUAGAGUUUGGAAACUUUUUUUAAAAAAAAUAUAAAACUAAAAGAGAUAUAAAGUCCAUCGAUAUAGAUUCAGUGCGGUUUGUAUGAAGAGGAUCUAUACUAAUUGAGUGGAUCAAUUUAAUUAUUUUUUAAUUUUUAUCGAUCAUCUUUAUUUUUUUAACUUUACAUUUUUUUUUAAUUUUAAUUUUUGUUAAAUCGAAAAGUUUAUAUCGAUAAUGUAAAGUUUUACAUAAACCUAAAAUCAUUUGAUAUAUUAUUAAGAUAUAUCAAAAUUAACAUAUAAUAUAUUUUCAUUGAAUAUUAUUAAUUUUUAUGAAUUUUAAUAAUAUAUUAAAUAAUUUUAGAUUUUAUAUAAAUUUUGAUGUACAUGAUGUAUAUAAUUUAACUUUCAAUUUAAAUAAAAAAUAAAAGUAAAAUUAAAAAAAAAAAAAAAGAAAAUUGACGAAAAACAAUUUAGAUUAAAAAGAUACAAACUUAUCUGAUCUCUUUUAUAAUUUCUCUACUGAAAAUAAUUUUAUUUUACGUGCGUCAGAUUCAAAUGUUUACCUUUUAAUAAAGUAAUAUUCGAAUAAAUGUUUUCAAUAUAUAUAAAAAAUGAACUUAAUUUUCAUGUGUUACUAAUUAUAUAACACAUCACAACAAAUUAGUACGUCACUUUACAAAGUUGUGUUAAAGUAAAAGUAAAAUGUUUGUAGUAAUAAUUUGAUAAUUGUAAGUAAAUGACAUUGUAUAUACAUUAAAUUCUAUCUACAUAGAUCGUCUCUCUCUUUCUUUUUGUAACUGCUUUUCUGUGAUAGAAGACCAAAUGUAAGAAUAGCAGUACUAGUGUUGGGGUAUAUAAGAUGAAGCCUAAUAAACUUUAGUGAGCCUGGAUGCAAUGUGUUUGUGUAGAACUAACUACAAGUUAUUAUUAGAUUGAAAUAAGAAGUAAGAAGUGAGUGGCUCUUCAACAAGUUCCUAUGCUUGGGUCCGCCUUGGAUUUGGGGUAAAAGAAAACACCUCGAGAUAGACCCAACAAACAAACUUACUUCCCUCUCUUCCACUUUAUUCUUCUUCCUUCAAAUUCCAUUCUCUCUCUUUCUCUCUCUUCAUUCCAUUAUUUCAACUACAUUCACUAACAGAGGAUCACCACUCUGCUUUCAUCAUCAAACUCGUUAUGUCUAUAUCUAUUUCAUUUCACUAUUAGAAAAUUCAACACAAAAAUCCCUAUUCUCUCAUCUUCUCUUUUCCUACUUCUACUUUCUUCUCUCUUCAACCAACAACACACAAAUAAAUUGCUUCUCUUUUUUAUUGUUCAUCCAGAAAAUUAUCUAUAUGAAGUUUAAUUAACAAUGAGAGAUGACAACUCCAAGAAAAGCAAGGUUUCAAAUUAAUUAAUGCCGCCUUGUUUUUCUUCAAAUUCGUUUUAUUGCAUUUUUUUUGGGUUAUGUUCUGACAUUGUUGUUGUUGUUGUUGAAGCUUUCAUGGCCCAAAACUUUGGUCAAAAAAUGGUUCAAUAUUAAGAGUAAAGCUGAAGACUUUCAAGCAGAUGAUGAUGUUCUUUAUGGAGGUGAUUCAUCAAUUUUAUCUUCAAUUUAAUUUAAUGUAAUUAAUUAACUAAUUAUUUAAUUAAAGCCUAUUGGAUUUGGAAUCUGAGGUUUCGAAAACAAAAAAGUUCUAUUCUUCUUGUAUUGGAACUUUGUUUGUUUUUGUUGAACAAAUAUUGCUUAGUUCAAUGUGUAUUCAACAACUCGAAACCCGAGAUCCAGAGCUUGUUAUUGCUGUUUCAAUUUCAAAUUUUUAUUAAUAUUGUUUGGUUUCAUGAAUGAAUGAAUUCAACAGUGGAAAAAGAACAGCUUUAUUCACUUUAUGGUUUUUCUUUUUCAGGUGUUGAUGAAGAGUGGAUGAACAACUGUUCACAAAGGGAGGAAUGCACUAUCAAGAAAAGCAAAACAGGUUUCACUAUUAUUCAUACAUUAGGACCACAACAUUUCUAAACCCCACCUAGAUAAUAAAGAUAAAAACAAUUUUUUCUGCAGUUUAUCCUAUUUCAUUAUUUUGUCUUUGUCUUUGUCUUUUUUUUCUUUUUUAAUAUUUAUAAUAUUUAAAUAUACAGAAAGAGUAAAGAGAAGGCACACAGAAAGAAUGCGACGAUGUAAGAUUGAUCACGAUGUAGCUCAGGUUACUGAUGUGCAUAACUAUAGGUAUGUUUCAUUUUAUAAUUUGCAUACUGUUUUCCUUAUUGUUGUUGUUGUAAGAUUUUGAUUAAUUGUUAUCUUAUUGAGAUAUUCCUUUUGUAUACAGAAUCUUUGUUGCUACUUGGAAUGUAGCUGGAAGAUCUCCUCCAAGUUAUUUAAAUCUGGAAGAUUGGCUUCACACUUCUCCUCCUGCUGAUAUUUAUGUUCUUGGGUAAGUUUCUGAUUAUCUAAUGGAAUGUAAUUUAUCAUCUUCUUUAGGUAUAUGUAAUGGUUAUGAUAUGAAUUAGUUUGUCUUAUAUUUCAUUUCACUCAGGUUUCAAGAAAUUGUGCCUCUCAAUGCUGGAAAUGUUUUGGGGACAGAAGACAAUGGUCCUGCUAGAAAAUGGCUAGCUCUUAUUAGAAAGACACUUAACAGUCUUCCCGGAACGAGUGGCGAAUGCCACACUAAUUCACCUCUCCCUGAUCCCAUUGUCGAGUUAGAGGCUGAUUUUGAGGGAUCAAUGAGGCAGAAAGCUACCUCUUUCUUCCAUCGCAGGUCGUUCCAAUCUUUAAGUCAUAGUAUGAGAGUGGACAAUGACAUGUCAGCACCACAAGCAUGCCUUGAUCGCCGUUUCAGCGUAUGUGAUAGAAUGAUAUUUGGUCACAGCACAGGUGACUAUGAUUCCAAUUAUAGAUGGGCGUCAUCGGAUGAUGAAAAUGGAGACUCUCCGGUUACAGCGCAGUAUUCGCCAAUGUCAUAUAGAGGGUGUGUCUCUAUGGAGGACAGAGAUAGACAGACAGAGAACUCAAGAUAUUGUUUGGUAGCUAGUAAGCAAAUGGUUGGGAUCUUUCUAACAGUUUGGGUGAAAAGCAAUAUAAGAGACGAUGUUCGCAACAUGAAAGUGUCUUGCGUUGGCAGAGGGUUGAUGGGAUAUCUUGGAAACAAGGUGAGUUUGAUCAAAUUCUUUUAAGAGGAGAGUUCGUAACCGAACUCUGAUCUGAGAAGCCAAUCUCAUUCUCUUGUUCUUUUCAGGGUUCAAUAUCAAUUAGCAUGUCCUUGCACAAAACAAGCUUUUGCUUCAUCUGUAGUCAUUUGACUUCUGGACAAAAAGAGGGUGAUGAGCUACGGAGAAAUUCAGAUGUAAUGGAGAUUCUCAGAAAGACAAGGUUUCCCCGAGUUAACGGCAUUGCCGAUGAGAGUUCUCCUCAGACUAUCCUGGAUCAUGAGUAAGCCUUUCAUCUCUUUUCCUUGAAUUUUUGACAUUCCUCUAAUGCUUGGAGACUGUGAAACUAAAUAAAACUCACUCCAUGUCUAACCCCUAAACUCUUGGUUUAAUCUGUGUAGUCGAAUAAUUUGGCUGGGGGAUUUAAACUAUCGGAUAGCCCUUACUUACCGUGCAGCAAAAGCUCUCGUAGAGAUGCAUAAUUGGAAGGUAUUGUUAGAGAAUGACCAGGUACGAUAGUUGGUACUCUUAAUUGAUCCAGAGCUUUGCUUCUUGUCUCAAAGUUUCGGCAAUAUCAGCCUCACCAUUUGAUUAUUAUUUUUCUUUCUUUCAGCUACAUAUAGAGCAGGAACAAGGUCGUGUCUUUGAAGGAUGGAAUGAGGGCCAAAUAUACUUCCCUCCCACAUACAAGUAUUCAAACAAUUCGGACAGAUACGCAGGCGAUGAAAGGCACUCGAAACAAAAGAGGAGAACUCCAGCAUGGUAGUUUUCUUUCCUGCAAAUAGUUACCUGUAUGAAAACUUGUAGCAUCAAAUGUAAAUAGGGAAUGCAUGAAACAAAUGAAUGUUUAAUAUAGCAUUGUUUAUGUAAAAAAUCUUAUUCAAAUUUUGUUGAUGAAGGUGUGAUCGGAUCUUAUGGUAUGGAAGAGGCCUCCGCCAAUUAUCUUAUGUUCGCGGGGAGUCAAGAUUCUCCGAUCAUAGACCAGUUUGUAGCGUGUUCCUGGCAGAAGUUGAGUCUAUUAGCCGAAACCGAAUCAGAAAAUGUUCUAGUUGUUCAAGUUCAAGGAUUGAAGUAGAAGAGUUAUUGCCGCAUUCACAUGGCUACUACAAUUAUACCGAUUUGACUUUCUAUUGAUGAAUGCUACAAUCUUUAUUCUGUAUGAUCAACUUGACUAAAAGAAACUGAUGUACAAAAUGUAACAUACAAGGUAAUUCCAUCUAAGCUUAAAUGUCUUUUACAGCAUAGUAGUAUUUUACAAAAGAAUUAAUCUCUACUUUUCCACUGAUUGUGUUUCAUACAUGAUAAUAGUAAUACAACUUAAAAAUUCAGCAAAGACAUAAUACAAUUUCUUUCACUUUCCCUUUUUAAUCACACAAUAUUUUCCUAGAACCAUGUUAUGGACUAUUCAUUUCAUAAUUUCAGGCUAGUCAACUCAAGUUCAUGCAAAAUUUAGUUAAUAGAUUUCUGCAUUAUAAUGCAUUUGACCAUUUCUUCUACCUUCCUAUUCCUAAUAAAGUUAUUGGUUGAGACUCUUGUUGCAUUGUAUGUCUUGUUCUUAUCCUUGGUUUGGUCCCCCUCUCUUGUAGGUGGGCACUGCUCUGAGGAGGAAUGCUAGCCCCAAUAGUGAGUGAUGUAGACAUUCUGUUAUUUUAUCAGUCCAAGAGAAGGUUGUCCUUUUCCUUUGCCUUCUCUUCUUUUCUCAGCUUCUCUAUAAAAAAUUUGUCUAAAUAAACCCUUCUCCAUACCUCUUUGCUGCAGCUGCUGAGUUUGGUUUUGUCUACAACCACUAACAGCUUCUUUGAUCAAUGCAAAUAACAUCUCAAUUCUCAUUAAAAAAGGUAAUGUAAUUGUUAUUUGCACUUGUUUUACCCCCUUAAUGAAGAAUUUGUAACAAAAUCACACUAUAACACGGAUUAAUUUUUUUAGAAGGGCAAGAGAAAUAUUACUAUUUAUUUAUGGGAUGGAAUGAUCCUAGGCCAUGCAUUUUUUGGGUGCAGAUUUGAACCUUGUCUCUUUAGUUUGGGUUACGGUUAGGUAGUUACCACUAAAGACACCAUAGUCGCUCUGCAGUUAGAGACUUUGGCACAAUUGGUCCAACUCCGUAAUCAAAUGAACUGUGUUCUUUAUUUGCAUUUUUCGUACGUGUUUUCUUUUGAACUAGGGUUGUUGUACUAACUCAGUCUUUGGUCUUUUGCAGAAACAUAAAAAGAAUGAAUGCUAUGAAGGGUGCUCAUUGCAGGUUUUGGUGGAUAUGAAGCUUCUUUUCUUGUGGCAGCUAAUGAUUUCACUGAGAACUACUAAAGUGAAUGAGUACAUUUUGUGGCUUUGUUUCAACAUUGUUUUUUUUUUUUUUUUUUUUUUUUUUUUUUUUUUUUUUUUUUUUUUUUUUUUUUUUUUUUUUUUUUUUUAAUUUUCUGAUUAAGAUGAAAGUUGACACCAAAAGCAAAGAAAGAAAUGCGCACAGCAUACAUUGCUUUAUUGGCUUUUAUCAGCAAGUCAUUAUUUGUACCCAAUUCCAAAUUAUGACCUUUUUUUUUUUUGCUUUCAUUCUGAUUCUACUAUGAUUCUUUGGGUAACGUCAACACCUUUUUCCAUCAAUCUAUAUACCGAAUAAAUCCGGUGAAUUCAGCCCAUGCUUAAUGAAUUUUAAUCGGUUCUCCUUUAUGAUGGAAUCAUUAUAAGGUUUGGAAUAUUUGGUGUUAGAAUUUGGAUAACUUUAUCCUAAUAAAGAAUGACAUAAUUGUUACAGCAAAUGCUAUAGAAAGAAAGGGAUGUGCCAAAGUGCUUUGCUCAUCAACUUAUGAUAUGAUGAUUCUUUCAAAGAAUAAAUUUUCAGACCAAUCAAUAAUAAUGGGUCUCAUUUAAGAUGCAACCUCUUUAUUACAAUAAUAAUGGGUCUCAUUUUCAGACCAAGAAUAAAUUGUCAAAUCUAUACGUACCAUCAAAGAUGCAACCUCUGGUACAUGAUUAUUUUAGUGUAGAAUUUCUUUGUCUAGUAAAAAAAGAAAUAGUUUAGAAUUUUUUUUCAUUUAAAAAUAUAAAAAGUAACACGUUUUCAAUUUUUUUCUUACGUAUUCAUAUUUUUGUAAAAUGAAUAUAAUUGUAACUUUUAGUAGCAAAAUAUGUUUGAAAAUUUAAAUGGUAAUUAUAUUUAGACAGAAAAGAUUUACGUAUUUAGUAACAAUAAAAACCAACUAAACCUCUAAUGAAAUUUGGGCAAACUUGUAUUUGUCAAAUAUUUGAUGGGGCAAAUGACUUUGUAUUAGAUUUAUCAAUUCAUGUUGGAUCUUUUAUUGGGAGUAUACUGUAAAUCUUAAACAAAAGAAGGUUAAAUUGAUGACGACGAAAGUUACACAAAUAAAUUCUAAAACGUGUGAAUCACACUAAGUUUUAUGUUCGAUUCACCUCCACUAAUCUAUGUAUAUUGGAUGCAAACCGAUUAUAUAACAAAUACGCUUUAAGAUAAUUUGAAAUCUUUGAAGUGAAUUGUACAUUUACAUCGAACCUAUCAAUCAAUGAUAGUUUACAUAACGUUCAUUCAUUUAGCAUUAGAUAAAAUAAUAAAUAAUUUAGAAGUAUUUUUGACAGAAGUUUGACUCUUGUAACAUAAAAAUUGUAUUAUGCUUUCUACCUCUAAAGUGUAUUUAUUUAAAAAACUCAUACCAAUUGAUGAAAAAAAAUAAUUCUUGAAAAAGAUUGUAACCCUUGAUAAUUUAAUGCAUUAGUUGGUUUGAUGGUUAACAUAUGCAUUAAACCCAAUCAUUAUAACCAAUUGAUCAAAUGAUUCAUCAACUUAUUUAAUUUUACUACGUUAAUAAUUUCAAAUAUAUUUUAAUUUUACUACGUUAAUAAUUUCAAAUAUAUUUUAAAAAUUUCCCUCACAAUACAUUCCCCCUGGUACCAUUUGGCUUAAAUAUAUAUAUUUUUUAAAAUAAAAUAAAAUGUUUUCCUUAUUUAACUAUUAUUAUAAUAUAAUUCCUAAAAAACUAUUAUAUAUAUAUAUAUAUAUAUAUAUAUAUAUAUAUGAAGAGAUAUUAAAUUACGCCCUUAAAGUUGAAUCAAGAGUUACACUAUCUUGGUCUAAGUUCAUUAAUAUAUUUUUAGCUAUAUAAACCCUACACUAUCUCCUAUCAAGGUAUGCCUCAUUAUAAGUUUAUCAGAAUGUUUUAAUGUACAUUUUUACCAACAUGCAUCAUUUUUGUCAUAGAUUCUGACUAAAACCUUCGGUCACAUAACAAUUCCUUCAUCGAUCCACUAACAGUAUAAAACCAUCAAUUUUUUUAUAAAUCUAAAUAAAACCAUCAAUUUUUUUAUAAAUCUAAAUAAAACAAUAACCUUAUCCAUAAUGUUACAUAAACAAAAUGAUAUACCUAUAUAUAUAUAUAUAAAAAGGAAAUACAUUGUUUUGGUAUAAUUUUUUCCUCUCAAUUUUAGGAUUCAUAUAAAUUAUCCAUUCUUUAUUUAUUAGAUAUUUAUUUCUUUUAAUAUAUAUAUAUAUAUAUAUAUAUAUAUAAAUAUAUAAGGAUAUACAGUUUUGAAUUAACAUUUAUUUUCUGUAUAACUUGUUUUAUUUAUAAUUUUUUUUUAUUAAUAAAAAUGAUUAUUUUUUUAUCAACAAAAAUGAAGAGAUGAACACAUUAUUUUAGUUAAAUAAUGAUGUUAUUUUUGUUCACAAAGUUUAAAUACAUGGUACCAGGGUGAAUGGGUUGUAAAUAUAUCAAUUUUUAAAUAUAUUUUAGUUCUGAUAAAAAUUGUAAUUUUUUAUUUUAAUCUUUAUAAAUUAUUUUUGAAAUUCUUUUAUGUAAAAUUUGAAAAAAAAAUUCAUUUUAAUAACAGCUGCAUAACAGAGGGACACGUAGUCCAAUCACAAUGUGACAACUGUCUUUAUCAUUUAUAAUUAUUAUCAAUUAAAAAUGAAAAUAUUUAAUGAUUUGUUUUAUUAUUAUAAAACAAAAUAAAGUUCGAAAGUUGUGUAUGAUGAGAUAUAUCUCCUUACACGGAGACCAAAACACUUUAAAUUUCACCCAAAGACAUUCUGGGCAAUUUGCCGUCUUAGAAUCACUUUAUAUAAUAUUUAUUAAUAAUUAUAUAGCUAACCUCAAAAUAAGAAAUAGAAAAUGAGAAUUUGAAGAGAAUCUCUGGCAGGUUUUCUUAUCAUGUUUCCACUUUUUUAAGCCAUCACACCAUUUGCCCGACUAUAAGACGUGCUACUGCUUCCUGGUUUGUUAUACUGUGCUUUUUUUUAUUUAUUUAAUUUAAUUAGUGGAAAUUAUUUAGUUCGUCUUUUUAUUACCUAUAUGUUCAUUUUCAAAUAAGUUAUUUUAGGAACAAAGUUGAUGUUACAUUUAGUCAUUGCAGUUGUAAAAAAUUAGACGACAAAGUGUUCAAGUAGCUGUUCAAACUGUCUAUCUCUACUAGAUAGUCAAAAAGUAAUAAUAAUAGUUUUAUAAAUAACCCAAAUAUACAUUGAUGAAAAGUCCAUGUAAUUAUUCUAGAUAAAAGAGUAAUUAAUCAAAGAAACCACUAAACACUGCAUUGGUUUUAUAAAAAGUAAAUAGUGUAAUUAAUGUGUAUUUUUUAAAAUUGUUUUUACUAAUUUGUUUAUGUUAAAUGACACAUUUAUUGUCAAUUGAUGCUUAUAAUUAAAGAAAGAGGUACUACUAUGAAUAGAUAAUAAUAAUAUGCUAAUUGAUGAGGCAUUUUCAAAAUCUUCACCCAAAAUUCAAAAUGAUUUAUCGAUUUGAACAUUUUGAAUUAAGAAAAAUGUAUUAAUAAAAAAGAUAAAUUUUUUAUGAACAAAUGUAUUAAAAGGAGUAGAUUUUUUUUUAAAUUAUCCUUAUUAAUUAUUAGUGUAUUCACUAUAAAUAAUUAUACAAAAUAAAACAUAAUAAAUUAAUAAUAAUAUAACUAAAAAUAAUAAUUAAUAUUAAUAUUACAUUAAAAAUGAAAAUAAUUAUUCAUUUUCAAAUAUUAAUUUUUACAACUGAAUCUCUCAAAAAAAAUAAUAAUAAAUACAUAAAAAAACACUAGGAACAAGUACACGACAAAGAGUUGCCAACAACUCAUAAAACAAAAACUAUCAGUUUAUUGAAAUUUUUAACUACGUUUCCAAAAUAAUUUGUGGCGAUUUCAAAACUAUACCACCAUUAGAUGUACGACAACCACCAUUAUGUUAAACUACAGUCUACAAAGUGACAUUAUCUUUUUUUUUCUCGAUUAAAAUAAUAAAACAUUAAAAAAAUUAUAUAAUUAUUUAAAAGUAUUAAUUAUUUUGUAUCAAAAAUAUCAAUUAUUUAAUUGUUAAGAAUACAAUCGUAGAUGAAAUAAUUUAAAUCAAUAAUAUAAUUAAAAUAAAAAAGAAUAAUUACACCAAAAUAAUAAUAUACAUUCAAAAACAAUUAGUUAUUUAAUUGAAUACAAAAUAAUAAAACUGUAAAUAAAAUAGUUUAAACUUUAAAUAAAAAAUAAAAAUAGAAGAAAAAAUUAAACGAUAAACUCAGUAUUCAUUUUAUAUAUAUAUUUAAACAUAAAAUCCAAAUAUAUAUUAAAAUAUAAAUUAAAUUUAAGAUAUUUUUAAUUUUAGAGAACAAAAAAUAUUUAAUUACUUGACGUCUCCAUCAAGGGUGGCUCUAGCGGUGUAUAACAGGAAGUGGCCACACAUGACUUCAAGGCACCAAAUUUAAAUUAAAAAAAGUUGUUGUAUGUUUAGUUUUUUUUUUAAUAACUCAAUUUUAAGAAAAAAGAUAUAAAUAUACUCUAUUGUGAAAAUUAUAUAUGAAAUUAUUUUUUUUAUUUAGUUAAAAGUCACCAUUUAUUAAGAUAAUUUUUUUUAUAAAAACCCGAAUUUUUAAUGCUAACUUCUUCAAAAAUUUGUGUUUUUUUUUUUUUUUUUGCUUUUUACUUCUUUGAAAAUCUAUGUACCAAAAGGUGACUUUGAAAAAUCGAUAUUUCAAAAGGCGAUUUGACGUUUAGGACUCAAGAACAUGAAGUAACUAUAGAAGUAACUUGAACGAUGAAUUUAUGAUAUAUGGACCUAUUCUCGACUGUAUUGAACUUCAAUUUGUUCAAACUUAAGCUCAAAUGCUAGGUAUAUGAGAAUCAAGGUGUAUUAGCAUAUAAAGGGAUAUAAAGUGAGGGUACACUAGAACUUGCGUGGACCUCCUUCGAAUGUCACGCAAUGGUCACUAUGAUCUUCGUAUCAUGAUUUCAAUCACACAAUGAAAACAUUCUUCUUUUAUCAUCAAGAACAUGUCUGAAAUCAUAAGGUGAUUCGUAAGUCAUGGAACACCGCUCAGAAUGUACACACAGUCUUUCUAAAAUAUAUGGAGGGCAUCCUAAAAAAGGACAUUUGACUCAGGGGAAAGUUACACACUAUUCUAAUCUUAAAAUCUUUCACUCUAAAAAAUAAUCUUAAUUAAUCAUCUAAAUGUGUGGAGGUACACACCACCCCAACUGACGAGCAACCUCCAAUCACCAUCAUAGCAUUGUCGGAGUCUCGUAUUCCUAACUAUAGGUCUUAGUCCUCUUCAAAUCACGUUCUAAGGAGAGAUAUGUCAAUUGUGGAUGGUCUUAAUGAUACUCUUGUUUGACAUAUCUCAUUGUUACAUUACAUUCGUUAUUAUUUUAAUAAAGUAAAAAAAAAAAAAAAAAGAUAAGAGCUAACUAGUUUAUUCAAAAGAAAUCAUAAAUAGAGUUUUUUUGUUGUAAGAUAUCAUUAAAGAAGACAUAAAACAAUUCACUUUGCAAAUGAUAGUUUUAAUGAUUGAGUUCAUCUUUUGAAAAGACUUUAAGGACAUGAAUCAUAUGAUAAAGGCAUAACUUUUAACUUUUAUGAGUAAAUAGAUUGACAUACAAAUCAAAUGUCAGAAAAAAUAACAAUUGAUAAGUAUCUUCAAGAAUUUAUAAGAAAAAAACAAACUUUGAAAGAAUGUUGUAGUUAUUUAUGUAUAAUGAUUUUUUUAUAAAUAAAGUAUUAAAUUUCUAAUUCACAUAAGACAUCCAAAAUAUUAUUGUUAAAAAAAAAGUGAAUUUUAUCAUUUAAAUUUUUUAUUUAUUUUCAUUUUAAAAUAAAUGAUAAACACACUCUGAGAUAUUUGAUUCGAAUAUAAAACAAAAUGUUUGAACCUAAUAAAAUUGAGUUAAGUAAGUAUCAUUAUUUAACUUUUUUUUUAUAUACCUAGAGGAUUUGAUGUUUUGAUUGUAAUUAAUUGAUGAUAUUGGCUUUUCAUUAAAAUUUGUGUUUGUAGCUUUGAAAUCUCGUGAAUGUUUGUACGUUGUAUAGCUCUCCCACCAAAUGAAGGUCGUUAUGCAUGAUGAACAUUGAUCAUAUGGGUUGUAAGUAACAUAAAAGUAUAAAACCAAACAAAUGGAGAACGGUAGCUGUUUUGAUGUAAGUAAUUAUAUUGCUCACCCACUUCACCACCUUCCUUCAUCCUCUGUCUUAGUCCAGGUACCCUACCAAAGCCUUGCCCACCAUUGGAGUACUAAUAGCUACCCCACUCCACUUGGCCCAAUUAAUGUGUUAUGGACUAUGGUCCCUUAAUUAUCUACCUCAUGUUGCCAAUUCAUGCAUCAUAUGAAUCUCCAAUUCAUUCAAACAUAUAUACCAUCAAUUUAGAUGUACUGGUAAGCCUUUGCUAGUUAGUUUUGAGAUAAAAUAAAGAUGGUAGUUUUGAUUUGGAGUAUUUGGCUAUGUGCAGUAAAAUUGUUUGAGAUUAAUUUUGAAACGUUGAGUGUGAAAUUCUCUAUACAAUUGAUAAAUCACAAAUACUCAUAAAUAUUAUUUAGAAACAAUUUUAAUUAAAUUUAAAUAUUUUAAAUGAUCUAAUAAUUUACAAUUAACAUGUGAAAUAUAAAUUCUGACUCAAAUACUUGACAUAAUAUAGAAACAUACACGCGAUACCAUUACACCAUAAUUGUAUAAAGUAUAGAACGUCGACACAUUUUUUAUUUUUAAAGAAGAACUAAAUUUAAUAUCUUUAACUUUCUGGUAUAUGUUCAAAAAAAGGUACAUCGAAACAAAAUAAAUAAAAAUAUAUAUUUUUUAUUAGAUACUUAUUAGAGUUGAUUGACAAGUAUCCUACAAGUGACACACCUAAUCUUAGAGUUGUCUAGUGAUUAAGUGAUACUUUAAAAGUGAUAAAGACAAAAUAAACAAGUAGUAAAAGGACUUUGGUCUAAGGUUAAUUCGGAGAUCAUGAGAAACUGAAAAUAGAAAGAACAGAGGUUCUGUUACAUGCACGUGGAUGCAGCAGAUAAUUUAAAUCAUGGAAGUGGAAAAGUUAGCAGUAAUCAUACGCCAACCAUGAUAUCACUCACUACAUAUAUGAUAUGAUACAUAUGAUUUUUGUACAUUCUCAAUUUAAUUCAACCAUAUUGAAUCAGGUCCUGCACUGUACUCUGCUCUGCAUAACAUAACGUACAAUACUACUUGGUGUAGUAAAUGAUGAUAAGAAGUGGUGAAGUACUAAUACAUAGCACAGUUUAAGGGGGAAUUUAAUGUUCAUUAACUUGUUAAUUAUUCUGCCAACUGAUACCUUGUUUAACAAGCAAAAACAACCAGAGAUUUCAGAAAAUAAUAUAAGUGCUGCUCUAAUUGUGACAUCACAAGUUACAUUACAUAUAUUAAUUGCACAUGAAUAAUUUAAUACAAAUACAAGUCUGUAUACACGUGCUCGCUCACUUCAUUAUAUCAUCAUAUAUUUUAUUUUGUCAAGAUGAUGCAUAUGGUGUGACUAUGUGUUCUGAUGCUACUUUCAAUAGUUCAGACACUUUUUACUCAUGAGCUGCAGUGAACAACAUGAUGAUGGAGAGACUAAAAUUCCAUUGCUUUUUCAUGCCCGUGUUAAAAUUAAAACUUAUACUAGUACUGAAAAUUCGUGAAAAAAGAAUCUGCAAUGAGGAAUGAGAACGUAACAAAAGAAAAAUAUAUAUAUUGUAAAAAGAACAAAAGGAACCUUUCUUUGUUUUAUAAAUUUAGUUAUUUGAGCAUUGGCAUGAGGUAGGAGGAGUCAGAUCAGCUUUAAUUUUGACGCAUUCCAAAGCCAAUGAACUUUUAUCAUCAUAUAAGAAUAAGUAUAUAUAUAUAUCAUAUAUGCAUAGUCCUUUGAAUUUGUGCAACUCUCAAGCGUGCGUUAAUUUGUCAGGAAUCAAAAUUGUGUCUGCAAAAUGUAUCAAACUUUGAGCCUAUAAUAGUACUUAUCAGAAUUUUAGCCAGCCACACUAAUGUCAUUUGAGCCUAUAAUGUCAUUUACCACUUACACUAACAAGUCCAAUUCUCCAAUAUGAAUGUAAUUCCAAAAACCAGCUGACAUUCUUAGCCUUUCGUUAUGCAUUUGCCUUGUUAUUUUAGUGAUAUAACAAGUGAGAUAUAUAUAUGAUGCAACUGAAUGAUGAUAUAAAAAUUAGUUAUUAAGAAUUUAUUUAGCUAGACAUCAAAUUUGGUUAAUUUUAUGAUAUAUAUGUAAUAUUUUGAUAAAAUAAAAUAAAAAUUGUUAAGUGAGAAUCCAAAACAGUAUUACUUUAUCAACUUGUAUUGAAAAUUAGAAAAUCAAAAUUGUAGAUUUAGAAGUAAAGAUAAAAAACUGUAUAUAAAUCUAAAAAACUUUAGGCAAAUACUGGCUAAAGAACCAUAUUUAAAAAUAUUUAAUAAGUAUAACUAACAAAUAUCUUAAACACACACGUUAAAAGAAUUAAUAAUAUAAAUUUUUAAUUAAUUAUAUUACUUUAAAGAUAAUUUUAAAAUUGAAAAAAUUAAAUAUAUAUUAUUUUCAAUACAUGAAUUUCUAUAUUUGAUUUAUUAAUACGUUCUUUAAAACACUUAUUCGUAUAACAUUUCUGUAUUUGAUUGAAAAUACAUUAAAAAUUGUCGUUUUAACUUAUUAAAAAUUGAUAUUUAAGCUUUUGGCAUGGCAUGAAAAUUUGGUUAUGAUUAAGUGGUCCACUAAAGAAAGUCAAAACAUAGAACGAUGCAUAUAGCCCUCGCAUGCAUUACGUUAGCAUAACCAAUAACAGUGUGCAUAGGAGUAUGUAAACAAUUACUAUCAUUUGAAAGGCUGUGGAUCCCUCCAAGUGUCCAAAGUAACCCUUUUAUUUUUUUAUCAUACAGUGAUGAAGCUAAUUGGAGUCAUCAAGUACAUAAAUGCGUGUAGAGAGUAAUUGUAGUAUGAAAUUAAUCUAAAAUGAUAAAUUAAUACAAUUUAGUGGUAAUUGCGAACUAGUAUUAGAGUAGGUAUGACGUGACACGGUAAAAAUGAUUGUGUAACANNNNNNNNNNNAAGAGCGUGAGCGUGAGCGUGAGCGUGAGCAUGGGAAUGGGAUGGUUCCCAAGCGGAGAUGCUGACGUUAUUGAACGUCCAUUGUUCAACCUAUUAUUCAGGGAACUGAUUGCGGUUUCUUUACUCUUUUCUAUUUUACUUGCACCAAUGCAACAACAGUGUCUUCUGUCCCAAAAUUCAAAUAACAAUACACUGCAACUGCAUGGUUAAACAUUUCAUACUAACAUCAAAACACCUUUAAUUUCAUUAUUUCUAUUUUCAAUUAUUUACUUAACAUCACUUAUUCAACUUUCACAAGUUAGAAAUAUGCUUCUUAAAUGUUAAUGGAAAUUAGAAUCUUAAAAAAGACUGGUUAUAUUAGCUUUGGUGUAUUACUUAUUCAAUUUCAAUAUUUUCAAUAUUUCAUCGAAUCAAUUUUUAAAUUAUAUUUAUGUGUUGUCCAAUAGUUAUUUUUAAACAUUUUUUUAUUUAAAAUUAAAUAUAAUGUAACUCAUAAUAAAUCAUAUAUAAUUAGACGCUAAUUCGCGCGUUGCACGGGUAUAUUUUAAUUUAUUUAAUUUAAGUAAAUUUAAAAAAAAAUCAAUAUGAAGUUUUAUGUCUCAAUUGUCAAAUGAUUAUUGAUAUAAUAGUUAUAUAUAUAGAAGAAAAGUACUCAACAAUAAAAGACACAUAUAAAUAGUCGAAAUAUAUUUUAGGGGUAAGCAAAAUAAACAUAUGUACUCUCAAUUAAGAAGAAAAUGAAGAUAUUUUUCAUGUUAUUAAAUUCAAUAUUAUAUUAAAUUCAAGAUGUGUACAAUUGCUAGCAAAUAAGUAGAUGACACGUAUAGGCGAAAAGUUAUUUAGAACCUAAGUAGAUGAAACUCUCUAUGAAUACGUACACGUCAGCUUUUUGGUUGAAGUGAAAAAUAUUUGGAAGAAAUAGUAUGGAGAGACACUGAAGUCUGUUUUAAAUAUAUAUAAUAAAUUAUCAUUUGUUGAUGCAUUAAAGAGUAGUAAUUAAUAAUAUCAUUUUACAAAUUCAAACUUAAUAUGUUAGUGAUUAAAUUGGUGAUAACUCAAACUCAAUUAUUUUCUACCUUGUCUUUAUUUUUUUGUCCCUGUUUUUUUUUUUUAUUGGAUUAGACGCAACCUAUUCCUUAUGAAUCAAGACUCAUAGGACGAAUCGAGUCCCGUACAACCCUACUAACAAUACACUUAAGUCUUAACUUUUUUUAGGCCCCCUCUUCCACAACUAGAUUUUCUCUUCUUCUUUAUACAAUAGAGAGAAGUGAUUUAUGAUAUUUUUUGAUUCAAUUUUAUUCUUUCAAGUUGUUUUUCUUCAUCUCAUUUUAUCUAUGAUUUCACAUGAAUUUAAUUUUCUUUCGUAUUUUUCUAGUGAUUUUAUAAUUUGAGUGUAACGUUGUUUUGUUGGUCUGUCUUGGUACAACAUUUUUGUUUUUGUGCUAUCUUGUUGUAGUGUGUGUUUGGUUCAGGUUGGCAUAAUAAUUUUGAUCAAUUACAAAUUUAAAUCAACGACUUUUGUUCUAUGUGUAUGCAUAUUGUCCUUUUGUGCUGUGUUUUUAUUUUAUGUUAUUAAUCUGAGUCAUAUGAAUGUGCUCGCAUAUAUUGUUCUUUUUGGUUUUUGUGAUUUUAAAUUUAUAUUGUAUAAAUGUAUUAUAGUAAUUUGAAUAAAUGAUUAUCGAUUUGUUUAAUAAAAUAAAAAAUGUUUGCAUUUUAGUCAAAUGAAAAAAUAAAGCUAGUCAUAUUUUUCAAAUGAAACUUUUCAUGAGAUUAUGAAAUUAUCCUUAAAGUUAUGUUAAAACUUUUUACAAAUAAAAUUAUUUGUUAUAAUUAUUAAGUCCUAACUCAAUUCAUAGAGUUCAAUAUUGUUAGGUUGUAUAUCAUAUUAUGAAUUUGAACUCAAAAUAUCACAUUAUAAAAAUUUUAAUGAAUCAUGUAAAAAAAAAUUGUUAUCGAUCUUUUAAAUUAUUUAUUAUAACUUUCAAUUGGUAAAUAUUUCAAUUUUGUUUUUAAAAAGUUAAAAACUUAUAUUUGUUAAAAGUAAAAACUUGUUGAAAAUAAAUACUAAAUUAACCAUUCCUUAAAAUGUUGACCAACGUAUAACAUGAGUUCUGUACCGGUAACUACCAGAAAACUUAAAAAAAUAUAAUCUGAUAAUGAGUUGUGUUUCAUAAAUGUUAUAAAAAAGAUUCGAUAGUUUUAAAAAGCUUCAAAUAAAUUUUCCCGUACCAAAAAAUCUUGAAAAAAAGUUUUUUGGAAAAUAUAUAUGUAUUCAACUUUAAAAAAAGUUUUUUAGAAUGUAAAUUAUGUAUUGAAAAUUUGAAAAAAAAAAUUAUAAUAAAAAAAAAAAUAAUCACUUUUAUACCAGAAAACUGAAAUAUUUUUAGAAUAAAAAAUGAUAAAUUUUAAUUUUAUAUAAGAAUAAAUACGUUAUUUUAUCGUAUUUAUAGAUAGAAGAAUAAUUUGAAGGGUAAAUAGCAAAAUUUUGAACUGACAGGUGUGAGAAAGAAAACGAAGAUUUGUAUUCGAUUUCAAUAAAGCAGGCCCAGAUUCCAUACUAUGGGCUUUUAUUUCUGUUAUAUAAAAGUAAGCUUUUGUUCUUAUAUUUUCUAUCCCAAUUUUUAUUUGAAUUAACUAAUACAAAUAUAUAUUUUAUUCGUUUGAAUUAAUUAAUUCAGAUUAGUAUUUAAGAAUAUGAGAAAAAUGGCUCAUAUAAGGGUAUUUGUGCAUUGAUUUGAUUCGAUUUAAAAAAAAGUUAUUUUAUUCAAUCUAUUCAAUUUUGUUAUUUGAUUAUCCAGUCAAUUUGAUUUUCAAAUUAAAUCCAAUUCAAUUUUUAUUUAUUUAAAUUAGGUUGAUUCCAGUUUUGAUUAUUGUAUAUAACAUAUUGUUUUGAAUUAUCUUUUAGGAUAAGUUUAAUAACUAAAAAAAAAAAAAGUUAAAAUAUCAUAAAACAAAAGUACCAAUUCAAAAAAGUUGUAUGGUACUUAUAGUUUAGAAAAAGGAAAUAACUAAUAAAAAGAAGGAACAUAUAGAAACGUAUAUCAUAUAAACAUGUAAUAAAUUGUUUAGAAAUAUGAAAAUAUACGUUGAACAUACUAUAUAUACACAUAUAUAUUGAUAUAUUUGCGAUUUAAAUUAGAUUGGACUGAUUUUAACAAUGAACCGAAAACAAUCCAGUCUAAUAAAACAAUGCAGCCUUUUUUAUUUGCAGACCUUUUCGAUUUUCAAUUUUUCAAUGCAGAUAUUGAGUUUAGAAAAUUAUAUUUUGUAUUUCCACAAUUGAAUUUAUAUUUUUUUAUUUAAAAUUUUUAUCUAUUAAUUUACUAAAAUAUCUUUAAAUACAGUAAAAACUAAAAUAAAGUUUAAAAAAUAACUUAUUUGUUCUCUAAAAAAUUUUUAUAGAAAAUUUCAUAAACACAUUUUUAGUAAAUACCUUUUUAUAUUAAAAAUUUCAUUUUUGAAAUUUCUAAGAGUUAGUUCCAUCCGAAAAUUUAAAUAUAUGAUAUUUAUUUUCAACUGAAAUUUUUAUUUUUAAAAUUUUCAGCAUUAAAAAAUAACUAUCGAAUAUUUCAAAUUUAUAGUUGAAAUUCCCACAAAUUUUAUUUUUAAAAUUUUCGAUAUUAAAAAAUAACUACAAAAAAUUUCAUUUAUGGAAUUUCUGAUAUAACAUUUUCUUUCUUUUACAUUUUUCAUUCAAUUCUUUUAAUGAGGAAUAGAGGAGCGAAAAACUAUAAAACAUUUUCGAGUUUGACUUCGUACACACUCUAAUAAAAAAUAUGUCAUUGAAAAAAAAAUGUGAAGUCGACACAUUAAAUUAAUAAACAUCUCUUAUAAAAUUAAAUAAUGAUAACAAAUACUCCAUUUUAUUGAUAUGAUAUGACAAUUUUUUAUAAUUAAAAAAAUUUAAUCAAUUGUUAACGUUUCAAUCAAAUGUAUACAAAAUAGUACUUUUCAUCUCUAUUUUAAUAAUAAUAAUAAAUCAGAAGAAAAAAAAACGCGAUAUUUUAAAAUUUCUAAUAGAAUAAAACUAAUCGAAUAUUUCAAAGCACAAAUUUUAAAUAGAAUAUUUCAAACCACAAUUUCAAAAAAUAGUAUAUCGAAAAUUUUAUUGACAAAAUUUCAAAUAAACAAUCUAAUUGUAAAAAAAUUUCGAUAGUGUUUUUGUAUAUCAAAAUUUUAGAAGAAACAAUCUAAUUAUAAAAAAAGUUCGUGAAAGAUAAAAUUUUAGAGUAAUUUUUUUUAUAUUUUUCAUUAAAUAAAAAUAAGAAGAACAAAAUUAAUUUUUUUACAAUUUAAAAGAAUAUAAAUCUAAUUAUUAAUUAUAGAGAUACAAAAUCCAAUUUUUCUGCAGUUUGUAUUGGCCUUGAAAUAACACUUUCACAAACUUUUGUGUUAAACCUUCAGUGCCAUGGCCCGAUCUUUUGGCUUGAGUUACCUUACUUUUAAAAGUUUUAUAAAACUAAUUUAUUCAAAAUGAAUUUUAACCACUUCAUAACUAUUCAAGCUAACUCGACACUUAACAAAGUUUUUUAUUAAAUUUAAUUUAAUAUAUUUAAAUUUUAUUCUUCGAGCGUUUAGAGAUGCUAAUUUCUUUACUAAAAAUUGUUAUAAUCAAUUUCCUUGAAUAUUUUUUUAAUAAUAAAAUCAGAUAAUUUAAUAGUUAUUGAGAUAUUAUUGAUCUUAAAUAUUAUUUUAUUAAUUUCAAAUUUAAAAAAUUAUUUCCGACGAAACAACAAUUACAUGAAUCACUAUUCUGUUACAUUAUUUAUUUAAAAAAUCGCCGACACUAUUCAUUUAACUCAUAAGUCUAUCCUUUUUUCAUUUGUUAUGACCAAAGAUGGUGAAAGAGUGAUAUUAUUCAUUUAAUCAUUGACGAUGAACAUUAUUAAUUGUUUUGGUUUUUUGACUAGUCAAUAUAAAAUCAUGAACUAUGAGUUAUUUGAGACCUAAAGCCUUAAUGAUUGAAUGUAGUCCAUAAGUUUUUGAUUUUAUUUGGUGCUAUUGAUUUAAAAAAAAUGAAAAGAAAACAGGACAACACAAAUGGGUUAGCUGCAUGUUAAUGCAGCAAUUUGUGGGAGUUUUAUUUCAUUUUACAUGACAUAACCACCGUGUUACUACUCACGCAUCAGCACGCUCCUCCUCCUCCCCCUCUUCAUAAGGGAAAAAGAAUUCUUCAUCUCUUUCAAAUAUCUCAUCCACCUUCUCUGCAGGGUACUCAUAUGCUACUUCUUUAGCUCUCUUGUCCAAUGCACUCACAAUGUUCCUCUUCCCUGCAAAAGCAAGCUUCUUGUUUCUUUCUGCAUUAACCUCAAAGCAUACAAUCACAAGGUUAUUCUUCUUGGAAGCCAUUGUUACAAAAGGAUGACCUGCAGGAACAACAAACACCAUUCCAGCCUUUAAUCUACCACUUAUCUUGUG
rnacentral:lncRNA from 1 species